AAAUGUGGAACAUCUUAACCUCGCAGGCAACAGCCUCUCAGAUGAAUGUCUCCCAAUACUUCUCAAGUGGUUUGUUAAUGUGACAUUUCUAGAUUUAUCCUGUAACUACAAUUUCACAAUUCUUCCCGAGUGCCUUGGUGAAUGUCACUGUCUUAUGCAUCUUAAUUUGAUGUUUUGCUUGGCUCUUGUGGAAAUUAGAGGGAUUCCACCAAAUCUUGAAAUUCUUUUUGCAGUCAUUUGUUAUUCAUUGAGUUCCUCAAGUAUAAGAAUGUUAAUGAGUCAGGUUUGUUGUUUUUUUAUUGCACUAGUAUUUGACAUAUAGUAUUUCAGUUCAUAGUGUAAUUAUUAUUCUUUUUAUAUAAAUUAACAGAAACUACAUGAGUCUGGAUGCACCCAUAUUCUAUUCCCAAACACAACGGAUAGGAUUCCUGAUUGGUUUGAGCACCAAAGCAGGGGAGACACAAUUUCUUUCUGGUUUGAUAAAGAACUCCCUUCUAUUAGCUUUACUUUUAUUCUUAUUAGUCAGGGGGACUACAUGUUACCAAUAGUCAAAUUCUUUGUGAAUGGCUAUGAAAAAGAGAUAAGUUGCGACGAAUUGACUAGGGAAUUCGGUGAGCUAGUGGAUGAUGACACUGUGUUGGAGAACCAUACAACUUUGUUGCAUAUAAAAUUGGAACAAGAUAAUGAACUCGGUGAAAGACUUUUGAAAAAUGAAUGGAUCCAUGUGGAGUUUAAGUUACAGGAUUAUUAUUGGCACGCUGAGAGAAGAUUAUUCAGAAAUACGCAAAUGGGAAUCCACGUGUGGAAGGAGAAAAGCAACAUGGAGGGGGGUGUGAGAUUCAUUGAUCCUUCAUUAUCACAAUUUAUGCAAAGAUUGGUGGAAGUGGGAGUUUCAGAGAAAGGGGAGGAGGAGGAGGGUUUUAGUGACACGGAGGAGGAUGUAAUAUUGAAGAAUCCUAAUAAUAGAAAGACUUGGGGUACAUUCCUUAGUCUAGGUGCAUCAAAAAGCAACACGGAUGGGGAUGAGAUUGAAAUAUUAAGCAGUGCACAAGAUGAAAGAAAGAUGUGGGGUACAUUCCUCGGUUUAGGUCCAUCAUAAAGUUAACCGUCUUCUUGUUAUUCUCUCAAUCUCAACAUUGCAGGUUUGUGCUUUGAUGUUUAUACUUUGUAUAAAUGUUGAUUAAUUUCUGUAUGUAGUCAGUUACAAAUUCAAUGUUUCUAGUUGGAGAAGUUUCUUAAACCAUGAGACAUGAUGUAAGUUUCUGUGUGUCUAACACCGAUACAUGUAAUACUAUUAAACUAUAUUAUUAUCUCAAAGGACUACCAAUGUCAACGAAUCAGUGUCGGUGUCUAGUUCGGUAUCCAUGACUGUGCUGAUGCUUCAAAAUGUCGAAAUGAAAGUUCUGAGUUUGCAAGUGCUUAAAGGUCAACAAGUAGAUUGUCUUACCGUAACUAUACACAUUUCGUAAACUUGUAUUGAUCUCAUUAAUUAUGAUUCAAAUUAGAACUUUUAUCUCAUAUCUCAUCUAACUAAUGGCACAUGUUUUCAGUGUAACCUAUAAAUGUAUGGAUAAUUUAAGUAGUACAUGCAUUUUUAACUUUUUUGAUGAAAUUUAACGUGACUGCAAUUGAAACAUGAUACACAAUUGAUCAAAAUUCCACUAGCUUAUAAGCCCGCACGAGUUUUACAAUGAGCUAAAUGGUUUGUCGAAUAAUCAAUAUCGAUCUUAUCUGUUGCAGCAUAACUCUAUUGUGUUACCCAUCACAUCUAUUUGAAUGCUUGUUACCUUCAGAGAGGAGAAGCCAUAGCUAUCAAAUUGAAUUUUUAUUUAGCUAUUACAUAAGGAUGAUUCAGAGGCAUCAGAAUCCAUCUCUCGCGGCCUUCAGCUACAACCCUUUAGUCCAGAAAUUUUAGAAGGUGUGGUGUAAUUGAACGGAUCCAAGAUUAAUGUUGUUACAAGUAUGAUUCUUAUAUUUUUAAAGAAUAAAUGCUUUUAAUCAUAAUCUGAAAAAGAAAUUGAUUAUUAUGCCAAAGUAAUAUAUUUCUACAUUUGUCAGGAAACCAUUUGCAACUGCCUUUCUUUUUGCAUUGUCAUACGAGAUGUCUAGAGGUGGUGGUUCACACCACAAAAUUCGUUCAAAAGGGAAUCAGGUAAUCAUAUGCUUUGCAGCUCAGUUGUACUUUGGUGUUUCCACAUUGGGUAUGAAUUGAUCAUUUCACAUAAUCCUUCUACAGCUCGACAUAUUUCAUUUCGUUCUAACCAUGCCUUCCGCUGGUGAGGACUUAUGUUUAGAUUAUUUCUGUAAUGAUCAUGAAAUGUCCCUUCUCCCCAAAAAUGCGGCAAAAACAGUCGCUAUUUUGUGUUCUGACAUAGAUAUUUGGUAGAACUAAAGAUGGAACGGGAAGACUUGUUCUAUACUAAAAAAUUUAUAAUGAAAUGUGUCUACUGUUUAUUUUCUAGCUAUGUUCUAAGUUGUUGUUGAUUUAUUUAUGUAAAUGUGCAUACCAGGUCGAAACGACUAUGAAGUGCUGAGUUUCUCAAACUAAACUCUCCUUACUGGGGAAGGAGCUUUCAGGUCUGCAAGAAAUUAUGUGGGAUAAAGAAAUAAAUCCGAGAACCGACAUUCAUGAGAUCCUUUUGCAAGAGUCGUGACUUUUGUUCUCCAAAAUCCAAAUCAGCGUUCUUGGUGUAGUACUCAAUGUACAACUCUGGUUUUGAUAUGGUGAGACCUGAUGUAAUUUUUUAUGGAGGAUGUUUGUGCUGCAUAUAUUGUUUGAAUUCGAUUAUUUCAUUACUGUACAUUUAGAUGCAUGCAUUAGAUUAUAGAAUGAACACCAUUUUAGAAGUACAUGUAAAUUAUGGAGGCCAACCUUGGAUAAUGUAUAUUUGAAUGUUUUAUCUAAAUGUGUUCUGAAAAAGCCAAUAUCAGGAACUUUGAUCUUGCUAACUUUUGUUGUUCAAUGAUUGUUAUUGCACCAAUAUUUCUUAUGCUAAACUGACAGAAACUAUAUUUCUUAUGCUAACUUACAUGAGGAUAGAUGCACCAAUAUUUGUUUUCCAACAGGAACAGAGGGGAUUCCAGAUUGGUUAAAGCACCAAAUCACGGGACACAAUUUUUUUCUGGUUUCGUAAAUAAAUCCCUUCUAUAACUAGUAUUAUUAUUCCCUUUCUGGAUCCGUCCGAUUCAAAUGAGAAAGUAGUCAAUUUGUCUGUCAAAGGCUAUGAAAAAGUAGUCUGGAUUAAAUGAUGUGAUCUGAAGCUGUCACUAGCAGAGUGCAGUAACAGUAAACUAUGGCCAACACUGCAGAGUGCAGUGUGGCAUGACUAGAAGAGAGAGGAGUCAAGGAAAAGUUAUUUCUGUUAUUCACUCGGAACCAUUAGUACUUUCAAAAUUCUACAGAUCUAAAAUAUAAGCCAGACCAUAUGCAUUAUACAGAAUAGAACUCUCAUUUUAUCGGAUGAAAUUUUUCGGUAUCCACAUAUGAUGCAUGUCCUGAGCAAACCUGCAUUCUUUUUUUUUUUUAAUGCAAAAUAAUCACUAACAUAUCCACUUGUUGAUUUGUUGCAAAUAGCUUAAAGUGGUUCUGUAAUAAAGUGAUUUAUCGUCACAUAAACAAGUGACUUAGAAGUGUUUCCUUUGAAUACUCGUGCUGCUGCAUAAUGAUUCUAAUUUUACCAAGCUUAAGUGUUUUAGACCUGAGUUGCACACACACAACAAGCACAAGCAAGUCACUUUAUUUCUGUGUAACGAGUAACUAAGCAGGUCAUGAAGUUGUUACGAGGAACACAACUUAGAUUUUAGAUCUUGAAUACUUGUAAGAGGCAUGAUUCUAUUUGCUGCACAGUUGCUGAUUUUGUAGUUUUAGAUGUGGAUUUUAUCUUGAAUUUUGGUUUAAAGUGUUUAUAGAAUUUUACAAAUACAAACUUCAUAGCCACUGUAUCAAUAAUUAGUAAUCUUUUUGGUGGGAGUGAUCUGGUAAAUUUUGAUACAACAACUUUGAUAGCCUUUGUAUCAGUAAUUAGUAACGGUGUAACAGAGAAAUUUUUUGGCUAUUCUCGAAAUGAGCGGAGACAGCAAUUUAAGGGAAACUUUGACUUUGUGAUCGCUUAAGUGAGUUAUCAUUUUUUUUCUUUGCCACCUGCUAUGUGUUUUUUGAACUUUUGCAUAUUCUUGUCCUUCCUAUGAAUUAACUUUAAUAACCUAAAGUUAUAUGGUGUUUUAGUUAACUAUGAAAAUUGAAUAUUUGCAUUGUAUGUAGUGUUUAUAAUCUAUUCUGGUUUUUAUCUGAGUCAAAUGAAUUGACAAAAGCUUUCCUCAAUUUUUUUCGCUAGAUCAGGCCUGAACUUCAAUAUCCAAUCCAUCUGGAAUUUGGUAGAGUCCUAUGUGGGAAGAAUGGCAUAAUUAUCUUUCAGAAUGUAAGCUGGUACUGAUGCUUGGAUCGAUGUCCCUCUCUACUACUGAACAUAGACCAAGGGCCUUAACUGGCAAUUAGUUACACACAUUCAUGGAAACAAGGGUUGAAGCAUUCGCUCGCAAGCAACUCAGGUAAUAGAAUUUAAUUUUUAAUUAAAUGGGUUUGCCAUGAUCAUUCAUCAAAAUUCAAUUGCAUAAAGAUAUAAGCAAAUAUAUUCAAUUGCAUAAUUCUUUUACACAUUAUAAAAGAAGACAAACUAUGCAGUGGGGUCACUAUCACCGUAGUUUUUGGUUGAAGUCAUAUGUUGUUUACUUGUUGGUUUUUCAAGUUCUGACAUGAUAUUAUUUUUCUUCCCAUUUCCAGCUGAACUACUUUACGUGCUUCAAUUUUUUUCAAUCACUGCUAAAUUUUAGUGGAUAAGAAACAAAUGAAUCUAAAAAAUUUACGAUCAACCAAAUUCUGUUUGGAGGUGAAUGUUUCUUCAUAAUCUAACUUUGUAAAUGAAUUUUAAGUGAUUUGAAAACAUGGAAUAAGGUCUUCAAUAAAUAAAUAUGUAUCAGGUGCUUUUGGUUCAGUUUUAGACUUUUAGAUGGUAGGGAUCGUGCUUUUGGUUUGAUUUACAAUUAUUGUUUCUUGUACUGCUAUUGUGUAGGUCAGUGUUUUGUACUUUUUUUUUUGUUCCUUAUCUAAGUUUCUAUGGUCGGUCUUUUCGACUAUAAUGGAAUAAUACAUGUUAUGCUACUGCAAUGUAGUUAUUGCUUCUAGCAUGGCAUUUACUAGGCUGAUUUGGUCUUUUCGAACUCAUCCAAGGACUGCAGGAUUUGGAGGACUUGAUCGGAAUUAUGACAAAGCUUUUCAAUUUGGAUUUUAUGGAAGUAUAGGUUGGUCAAAUAUCCUUCAUGCAGAAAUUCAGGAUCUCCUUGUUGGUCUCAAGUUGUGGUGGAAAGCCCGGAAGUUUAUAUGCUAUUAUGAUUCUCUUCACGUGGUGCAGUUAGGUUCAAUGAACACUCAUCACUUUCACCAUUAUGCCAAUAUGUUGGAGAUUUAUCAGAGCUUACAUGAAGAAAGAUUGGAAUUUUUCUCUCCAUCAGACUUUUCCCGAGGGCAAUGCUUGAGCAGAUAUUCUAGCGAAAUUGGGAGUUAGUUGUAUAGAUACCUUGGUUACGGUCUACAUGCUGCCGCAGUUCUUCUCCUCGGCUUUGUUAGUUAAAAUUGUUGGAAUGUCCUUUAUUAGGACUUAGUAACCAAAAAGAAAAGGUUGAUGGAAAAACUUAAAUGGAUUUGUUGAAACCACCACAACCCUUUAUGUUGAUACCUUGCAUUCUCAUGUUACUAUGCCUCCAUUCCCCGAGUAAUACAGUGACUUCAAUCAAAUCCCAUAUAUAUAUUUUAAUCUUAUGGUCUCCUUUUUAAUAUGAUUGUCAAAUAAGAGGUUAAUGCAGAAAGUGAAUAUAGUUAGUUUGUGGUUCUAAUUGUGUUUUACCUCUUUAUAUCAAAUUGGUGCAAUUUUUACUUUCUAUGCUUUGGUUAGAUGUUAAUUAAUAUAUUUAUUUUGCCUCUUCAAAACAAACAAAAUCUAGAAAAGAGAAUUGUAAUGAAACAUUUUACCUCUAAGCAUUAUGUCCAAAAAGUGUUACAAACUUGAAUCAAAAAAGAAAAUAUUUUACAAUCAAACUACAAUUCAUUAUGUAUCAAUUUUACAAACCAAGUAAUGAGAUGGAGGGAGAGGAGAGUCCCUGCAACCAUAGGCGACCACAUCAGUGUCAUCAUCCACUACUGUCGGUGCUUGAGUUCCACUGUGUCUCCAUCAUAUUUGUGAGAGUUAACUUAAAAUCAGAAUUCUGGAGAAUCGUGCCACGAUGGAGAAGCUUCGUGCCACGAUUGUUGAAGCAAAAUUCUGGAGCAAUCACUUUAAAAUUCGUGUCACGAUUGUAUCGUAUCGUGUUACGAUGGUGCGAUUGAAGAUAAAAAUAAAACGUAUUUUUAUUGAAGAUUUGUUUCAGUUUUUUAAGGGAUUACUUUCACUAUAAAUAUAGACCUUGUAUCACAGUAUUUCUUGGAGAGAGAUAGAGGGGGCUGAAACAAGGGUUUAGAAUGGCAACAACAAAACUAGAGUUUGUAUAGAGUUUGUCUCUUUGGAAACACUAGGGUUUGAGGGUUGAUUCACCUUGGGAAACACUAUUAGGAUUGAGUCUCUUGGUUACGGGAAGAGGCUGGGACUUUGGGUAGAAUUAGGCGGGAGACUUAUUCUUGUAACCCAUUGACUUCUCUUUGUAACGUUACUCGUUAUAUAGUGGAUCGGAGGGCUGCUCUCUCCCCAGACUAGGUCAAUUUGGACCGAACUGGGUCAACAAAUUAUUUUGUGUUCUCUAUUCUUUUGUUCUUCUUGCUGUUGUUUUCUACUUUUGGCAUGUGAUUAUAACUGUUCCAUACGCUUUGAUUUUGGUUGCUUGACUAUCCCUUGCUCCACACAUCAAGUUGUUAUUGGUGUGAUUUUUCUCAUCGAAUUCACAACAAUAUUGUGUCGUUCAGUCAUCGCCGAUGUAAGAGAAACCAGGUGGUCGUUUUGUCGCCGGUAGUCCGCUGCUGCUAUUUUUCCCUCUCCUGAUUUCUCCCUUCCCCUCUCAUGUCUCACAUAUAAUCUUCCUCCAUCUCUUUUUCUGUCUGAUUGUUCGCAUAACAAUGCAACAAAACAUGAGAGUUGGCAAGAGUAUAAUCCAUGCAGCCAGAAUGAGAACAAUGCUGCUAUAACAUGUUAAAGUUACCAAACAUGUCAUAAGAAUUGGAACCAAUAAAUGUCAUGCUUAAUAUCAUUGAUAGCAGUGUGUUUUACUUCAACAAAAAAAAAAAAAAUGAACUCUCACAUAGAAGGCUGUGUGAUAGCAGUGUGUCACAAGCAUUACUUGGAACAAUUAGGAUCAUAUAUGUUGGAUCUAUAAUGCUGGAAAAAAGAAGGCAACUUUCUGAGAGUGUGUGCACGUGCGCACUUGUCGUGGAAGAUCAAAUUGAUAAUUGUAAGUGUUGUGAAUUCGAUGAAAAAUCACACCAAUAACAACUUGAUGUGUGGAGCAAGGGAUAAUUAAGCAACCAAAACAAAGCGUAUGGAACAAUUAAAUACAAGCCAAAAAGUAGAAAACAACUGCGAGAAGAACAAAAGAAGAAGAAGAAGAACACAAAGAAAUUUGUUGACCCAGUUCGGUCCAAAUUGACCUAGUCUAGGGGAGAGAGCAGCCCUCCGAUCCACUAUUUGAUAAGUAACGUUACAAAGAGAAAUCAAUGGGUUACAAGAAUAAGUCUCCCGCCUAAUUCUACCUAAAGUCCCAAUCUCUUCCCGUAACCAAGAGACUCCAAUCCUAAUAGUGUUUCUCUCUAUCUCAAUCUCAAAGUUUGCUUUGAUACAAGGUCUAUAUUUAUAGUAAAAGUCCUGCUUAAAAUCUGUAACAAAUCUACUUUAAAUUUGUAACAAAUCUGUAACAAAAACUGUAACAAAUCUGCUCCCAAAAAUACGUUUUAUUUUUAUCCGCCAGCGCACCAUUGUGCCACGAUGAGACCCCAUCGUGCCACGAUUUUUCCAGUGCCUUGCCCAAAUAACUAAAACCUCCAUCGUGCCACGUUGCCUUGCCGUCGUGCCACGAUUCUACAGAAACCUGAUUUUAAGUUAACUCUCACAAUUCUCCACCUUGACUUCAAAUCAGUGAUGAUGCCGAUCAUCAACCUCCUUGCUGCUCAAACCCUUGCUUCCCACUACUCCAAGUAGCUCCACAAGUUUACACCCUCAACCUCUUCAGCCAUCGGAAUGUCUUCCUCCUUCUCGAAGAUGCUUGUAGUCCAACUACGCUAGGAAUUUCAGGUAGUUCUACAAGACUAUACCAUAACCUCUUUAAUACGAGACAUCUCCCGCUUUCCUUGAAGAUCUACUUGUACCCAAUCACCCUUGGCUUUUAGAGUAAUCCACAAGUAUACACCUCAACCCCUUCAGCCAUCGGAAUGUCUUCCGUCUUCUCGAAGGUCCUUGCAGUCCAACUACACUAGGAGUUUUAGGUAGUCCCACAAGCAUUCACCAUACCGUCUUCAACGCAGAACAUCUCCUGCUUCCUUGAAGAUCACCUUGCAUCCAAUCACUCUUGGCAUUCUUUUAGAGUAAUCCCGCAAGCUGUGCUACACAUUCUCCAACUUCAUGAAGAAAUCCCUUGCUCACCAUAGAGCAUAGCACCCAAGGUCUUCAUAGUCGUACCAUUACCGGUGUGUUCAACUCCACCUCACGCUGAGCGUACUCUACCUCAACUAGCAAAUGCGUACAUCCCACUGUCUUCAACCUUGAAACUUCACCUCAACAGGUAGAUCAUGAGUAUUCUUACCACCGCCUCUCCAGGCUGAUGUUGAGUGUUUAACGUCUCUCCAGACGACCACCGCUCCAGUAGGCAUCAAUCCCAAGGUGAGACACAUCACCUUCUUCAUCCUCCAAACAACACCACACCAUCAGAGCACCCGCAUCCUCAUAACCCUCAGAGAUAAUUUGUGCGGAGUUACCAUUAAUCUCCGGACAAUCCUUCUUGAAGUGACCCAUCUUGUGACAGUUGAAGCAUUCAAACCUUGACUUGUUUCCACUCUUUCUCCGGUUACCUCUACCUCCACCAUUCCCUCUUGUGACACUUAGGCCAUCACCGUGUUCAUGAGUCAAGUCCUUGGACUUGGUCAACUCCUUGGUUCUCAAAGCCGCUUGAACUUCUUCCAAGGUAAUAGUGCCUUCCUUGCCAUAGAGCAUGGUAUCUUUGAACGAUUCAAAAGAUUUCGGUAGAGCACACAACAAGAGUAUAGCUUUAUCCUCGUCCUCAAGUUGCACCUCAAUAUUCUCCAAGUCAUCUAGGAUUUUUUUGAACUCCGUAAGUUGCUCAAUGAUGGCCUUUGACUCUUCCAUCCUGAAUGAGUAGAGUCGUUGCUUUAGGAAUUGCUGAUGAGCCAAAGACUUUGUCAUAUACAAAGAUUCCAACUUUGCCCACAUCGAUGCCGCGGUUGCUUCCUUUGCUACUUCUAUCAAAACUUUAUCCCCGAGGCACAAGACAACGACACUCCUGGCCUUGUCCACCAUCUCGGUCUUCUCCGCUCGUGACAUGGUGACCGGUAACGAACCUUCACCCUUCAAAGCUUUCUCACACUUUUGUUGUAUUAACACCGCUUCCAUCUUUACCUUCCAUAACCCGAAAUCGUUAUCUCCGGUAAACUUCUCAAUAUCCUACUUUGAACCCAUGGUACUUGAUUAUCCUUUGACCCUUGCCCCACGGUGGGCGCCAAUUGUUGUGAAUUCGAUGAAAAAUCACACCAAUAACAACUUGAUGUGUGGAGCAAGGGAUAAUUAAGCAACCAAAACAAAGCGUAUGGAACAAUUAAAUACAAGCCAAAAAGUAGAAAACAACUGCGAGAAGAACAAAAGAAGAAGAAGAACACAAAGAAAUUUGUUGACCCAGUUCGGUCCAAAUUGACCUAGUCUAGGGGAGAGAGCAGCCCUCCGAUCCACUAUUUGAUGAGCAACGUUACAAAGAGAAAUCAAUGGGUUACAAGAAUAAGUCUCCCACCUAAUUCUACCUAAAGUCCCAAUCUCUUCCCGUAAGCAAGAGACUCCAAUCCUAAUAGUGUUUCUCUCUAUCUCAAUCUCAAAGUUUGCUUUGAUACAAGGUCUAUAUUUAUAGUAAAAGUCCUGCUUAAAAUCUGUAACAAAUCUGCUUUAAAUUUGUAACAAAUCUGUAACAAAAACGGUAACAAAUCUGCUCCCAAAAAUACGUUUUAUUUUUAUCCGCCAGCGCACCAUCGUGCCACGAUGAGACCCCAUCGUGCCACGAUUUUUCCAGUGCCUUGCCCAAAAAACUAAAACCUCCAUCAUGCCACGUUGCCUUGCCGUCGUGCCACGAUUCUGCAGAAACCUGAUUUUAAGUUAACUCUCACAGUAAGCGGAAGAAAUAUCUUCAUAAACAUUUAUCAGAUAAGAGAAAAUUGGGAAGGAACAAACACAUCAUAUUCUGUAAUGGCUACUUUUGAGCAGUUGUACGAAAUUCAAAAUAACUAUCCGACAUUCAUAAGUGAUGUUACGUUGAACUUAAGCUACUUAUGAAAUGGCAUUCUCGAGACCUAAGGGAUCGCAAUGCAUCUUUGAACUUUUUCGGAAGGAGUAAACAAUUGGAAACAUUUUAAAAUCAAGCAAAACAGAAAACCAAUAUUCUGUCACAAUCCUAGACAAUUUUAUCAUAAAAGACAAGUAGUGGCAGUGAUGCAGGCGAUAGUAUUUCAUCCAGUAAUCAUAGGAUAAAUGAGCAUUGCUGUAACACUAAGACUGAACAAAGAAAUCAAGACGAUGAUGCAGUCAAAGAUCAUACUAAAGAGCACAAAGCAUAUACAGCAAAUAGAACAAAAAAACACAGUCAAUAAAGAUUUGGUAUCAGCUGAUUAAAUGUGUUUCUAUGAAAAACAAAUUGUAUGAAAAUUGUAUUUCACGGUCAGGAUUUAGUUAAGAAUCCAAAUUCAUUCAAAAGAAAUUGAAGCUUCUAUAGGUUCAUCCUCAACUUUGAAUUUUGGAGGUUGCUGUUUAAUUUCCAUGAUAUUAUUGACUAUUGGUCAAACAUAAAAUAAAACUACAUUUUAAAUGACGGAAGUAGUAAGGAAGUUUCGUAGACAAUUUAUUUUUUGUUUAUUUAUUUAUUUAAGUUUUCUCGUUGUUUUAUUGUUUGAAUGGUAACCACAUUUAAGAUAUCAGCAAGAAGAGGUGGUAGUGCAACGAUAUCUACUCUGUGAUUGGUCCACACGCUAUAGGAUGUUGCAAGGAAGUUUCACUUACUACUUUUGUCAUUAGUUUUCUCCUUGUUUUAAAGAAUCCACCUAACAGACCACACAAAUUACUCAUUCAUAUUCUCCAUUUUCAAAGUCUUUUUUCAUCCAUAUUCUUUCAAUUCUCAUGGCUAUGCAAUCACCUUCCCGAGUGUUCCUCAGUUUCAGGGGCAGUGACACUCGCAACAAUUUUACCGGUAAUCUCUAUAAGGCUCUCAUUGACAAGGGAAUUUGUACUUUCAUUGAUGAUAAUGAUCUUGAAAGAGGAGAUGAAAUCACACCCAAACUUGUCAAGGCCAUGGAAGAAUCUAGGAUUUUUAUUCCCAUAUUUUCUGCCAACUAUGCAUCUUCUUCAUUUUGUUUGGACGAACUUGUCCACAUCAUUCACUGCUACAAGACAAAGAGUUGCUUAGUAUUGCCCGUUUUUUAUGAUGUGGAACCUACUCACAUACGACAUCAUAGUGGAAGUUAUGGUGAGCAUCUUACUAAGCAUGAAGGGAGAGGAGAGUCCCUGCAACCAUAGGCGACCACAUCAGUGUCAUCAUCCACUACUGUCGCGUGCUUGAGUUCCACCGUCUCUCCAUCAUAUUGUGUCGUUCAGUCAUCGCCGAUGCAAGAGAAACCAGGUGGUCGUUUUGUCGCCGGUAGUCCGCUGCUGCUAUUUUUCCCUCUCCUGAUUUCUCCCUUCCCCUCUCAUGUCUCACAUAUAAUCUUCCUCCAUCUCUUUUUCUGUCUGAUUGUUCGCAUAACAAUGCAACAAAACAUGAGAGUUGGCAAGAGUAUAAUCCAUGCAGCCAGAAUGAGAACAAUGCUGCUAUAACAUGUUAAAGUUACCAAACAUGUCAUAAGAAUUGGAACCAAUAAAUGUCAUGCUUAAUAUCAUUGAUAGCAGUGUGUUUUACUUCAACAAAAAAAAUAUGAACUCUCACAUAGAAGGCUGUGUGAUAUUGUAAAGUCCACUUGUAUGUAACUUGUCAUUGCUCAAUGAACAGAGCUUUGAGCGAUAAUUAUGUAGUACACAUUGUCACAAGCAUUACUUGGAACAAUUGGGAUCAUAUAUGUUGGAUCUAUAAUACUGGAAAAAAGAAGGCAACUUUCUGAGAGUGUGUGUGCACGUGCGCACUUGUCGUGGAAGAUCAAAUUGAUAAUUGUAAGCCGCAGAAAUAUCUUCAUAAACAUUUAUCAGAUAAGAGAAAAUUGGGAAGGAACAAACACAUCAUAUUCUGUAAUGGCUACUUUUGAGCACUUGUACGAAAUUCAAAAUAACUAUCCGACAUUCAUAAGUGAUGUUACGUUGAACUUAAGCUACUUAUGAAUUGGCAUUCUCGAUACCUAAGGGAUGGCAAUGCAUCUUUGAACUUUUUCGGAAGGAGAAAACAAUUAGAAACAUUUUAAAAUCAAGCAAAACAGAAAACCAAUAUUCUGUCACAAUCCUAGACAAUUUUAUCAUAAAAGACAAGUAGUGGCAGUGAUGCAGGCGAUAGUAUUUCAUCCAAUAAUCAUAGGAUAAAUGAGCGUUGCUGUAACACUAAAGAGCACAAAGCAUAUACAGCAAAUAGAACAAAAAAACACAGUCAAUAAAGAUUUGGUAUCAGCUGAUUAAAUGUGUCGCUAUGAAAAACAAAUUGUAUGAACAUUGUAUUUCACGGUAAGGAUUUAGGUAAGAAUCCAAAUUCAUUCAAAAUAAAUUGCAGCUUCUAUAGGUUCAUCCUCAACUUUGCGACCUUAAAAUGAAAUUUGUGUGAGAUAUAUGCACGCAAAAGAAAUUCGAAGAGAAUGUUCUUAAAUCACCAUAACUUAUAACUUGACAAAUAAAAAAAAGAGAUGUGACAUAAUGUUAUGUGUUUUGCUAAGGCAGUUUUUGUUUGUGAUUUUAUUAGAAUGUUUUAGUAUCUAGGGUGUCGUGCAGGAAGCGUGGUGGGGUCAAAUUCACAUCUAACUUACUGCUGAUCAGCAACGUCGUAAAGGCGAUCAUACAUUUUAUUGAUAUCCCAACAACCACAAUCAUAUACUUCUUUGUGAAAAAUAAGAAAAAUUUGCCUUGCUUCGAUAUUUGUACCGUAGUUUGUUUUAUCUCUUAUCUCAAUAUUUGUGUGUAAGCUGCAAUUUUCCAUAGCUUUCUUAGCUCUGUUAUUUGAUGAAAUUUUUUAUAGGGUCUAAAACUUGAAAUUUAAAACUUUUAUAGGGAUAUAAAACAUAUUUAACAUUUUUUUUAAACAUAAGGCUUUGAUAAUAUUUGCAUAUUUACUACUUGAGUUUUCAUGAUGCUGCUGGUUGAAUAGAAGACUGCAGCUGGUUGAUGCGACUGGGGCAUUGUGUUUUGAUACCAGACCUUCAUUUGACUUGGAAUUCCAAUGACAUAUUUGAUGUCACAUUUCUCUUUGCAUCCACACUACCGUCCCUAGCUAUUUGAAAACUUGGAUAAUGAUAUAUGUCGCGAAAAAAUUACUCGUGAUGGCAUCACGACUCCUAACAGCUGAAGUUCAUUUGCGAUGGUUUCGGGAACGUUUGCUUCGCAAUGAAUAGCACUGCUUUGAACUUUUAGGCAGCAUAUGACUUCGGUAAUGGUAUCAUUUUCCCUAAAUCUCAAAGAAGCUAGAAAUGAGGAUUUAAAAUAGUCCCACGUCGACCAGAAAAGUAAUAAGGUAUUGUUUAUAAACUUUGAUGUGUACCAUAUAUGUUACUUUGUUGAGGAAUGUGGAGAGUCUAAACGUGAUGUUACUCCAAGUUCUUCUUCUUCCAUUGUUUUUAAUGAAAGAAUUGAAUAUGUUACCGUUCCGUUCCUAUUUGAACUUUUAAAAUAGUCCCACGUCGACCCAAAAAGUAGUAAGAUGGUAUUUAUAAACUUUAAUGUGUACCAUACAUGUUACAUUGUUGAAGAAUUGAGAGUAACGUGGAUUUGGAUGUUAUCCUUAGUACUUCUGUAAUGGUUUUUAAUGAAUGAGUUGAACAUAUUUUUUAAAGUAUAACUUGGUUCCUUUUAUUUAAUUUCCAUAGUUUAUGAUGCAAGAUCGUUUUGUUAAUCUUUUUUUUUUGAACUAGAAGAUCGUUUUGUUUGUAAUCAUAUAAAAUAUUCUUCAACUUUUUAAAUUAUUGAAUUUUUUUUUUUUUUUAUGGAAGGUUAUUGAAUAAUUUUUGUGUACCACUAAUAUGUCUUCUCUCACCCAAUGCCCACUAUUUUUUCCAGCAAAACCUUCAUUGUGAGCAGGAAAAAAAAAAGCUUUCAUUCCUCCACAAGCUUAAUUAUAAUUAUUAUCUUGAAUCUUAAAAAAGAAACUCCAAAGUUCAUAUAAUUUGAAUUGGAACUAAAAUUUUCCUCAUGAAAAAUUGAUAAAGAGAUUUCAAUUCUGAUUCUCUAUUAGUAGCAAAGUUGUCAAAAUCAGGACUUUACUUCAGGUCGAAAGGAAAUAGCAAAAUUGGGACUCGUAAAAUCCCAAUCAAAAUCGAAUGAUUUUACUCAAUGACUUUUGUAGAAUCGAUAUUGGAAAUUGUAAAAUCGCAAUCAAAAUCGAUGGAUUUUACCAAAAAAUAAUAAUACUAACUAUAUGUUAUAAAUGGUAUAUAGUCAUAAAUAACUUAGUUUAUAAGAAAUCGUAAAAUGACAAUCAAAAUUGAUGGAUUUUGCUUAUUUUGGGAUUCUAUUAUGAAUUUGAGUCAUUGAAGGUGAAGAAAGUCGCAAAAUCCUAGAUUUUAAGAUUUAAGUCGGGAUUUUGACAACAAUACUUAGUAGUAUAUCUAACUUUCUAUUUUCCUAAUGAAUCCAUUUUCGGGUCAAUCCAAACCCAAUUUCAAUGAUGUGGAGUAAUGUAAAAUAUGGGGGCGUCGAUUGCAUGUUCCAAAUCAUCACUGUUCGCAGCGACACCACAACUCAUUGUCAAUAGAAGCUCGUCCUCUUCUCAUCCCCAUUGCAGCAGCGUUGCUGCAGACGUUCAUAUUUUGAAAGGUUUACUCAAACACACUAAACAUGGUAGAGGGUCUUUAUAUCUGUCAUGAGAAGUAAAACACAUCAAAGAUAAAAAAUAAAAAAUAAAAAUAAAAAAAGACAAGAAAUCCAGAAUUAAGAUAAAAGGAAAUCUUGAAAGACAACCACGAAUCUCGAAAAAUGGAAAGAAUUUUUUUAAGAACCACCGACAAUUUUCUUUAUUUUGCGUUUGGAAGAAGAAGAAGAUGAUGGGAAUGGUAAAAAGAACCCUAAUAUAAAGAGUAAGGAUUGGAUGGAGAAGACAUAAAUGUUACUUUUUUUUUUAUUUCCAACAAAUCUCGUCCUUUAAUUUACUUGUUAGUCCAAUGGUGUGAUAUAUUAGGGGUACACCAGUGACUUGCUUAAUUUCAACCUAUUUUUUAGCUGUACUUGUAGUUUAAUUGGUGAUAUAUUCAUCUGUCAAAGGAAGUAUGCAAAAGAGAUGUUAAAGAAAUUCAAUAUGGAUUACUGUAAAAGCAUGAGCACUCCUACGUGUCCAAAGGAGAAGCUAUGCAAGGAUGUUGAAGAAGAACAAGUGGGUGAAACACUUUACGGAAGUUUAAUUGGCUGCUUAAUGUAUCUUACAACUACAAGACCAGAUAUUUUAUAUGCUGUAAAUGUUCUUUCAAGAUUCAUGAAUUGUGCUAAAGAAUCUCAUUUCAAAGGAGCAAAAAGAGUGUUGAGGUAUGUCAAGGGAACCUUAAAUUAUGGCAUUAAGUUCUGUCGAUCGGAAAAAUUCAAGUUGCAAGGUUACUCUGAUAGUGAUUGGGCAGGAUCUUUAGAUGACAUGAAAAGCACUUCAGGCUACUGUUUUAGUUCUGGGAUAGGGAUAUUCUCUUGGAGUUCAAAAAAACAAGAAAUUGUUGCACAAUCAACAGCUGAAGCAGAGUUUAUUGCAGCCACAGCAGCUGUUAAUCAGGCCUUGUGGCUAAGAAAAGUUCUAACUGAUUUGCACUUAGAGCAAAAGGAAACUACUGAGGUAAUGGUGAACAACCAGGCAGCCAUUGCCAUCUCCAAAAAUCCUGUUUUUCAUGGUAAAACAAAGCAUUUUAGUAUUAAAUUAUUUUUCCUCAGAGAUGUUCAAAAGGAUGGUGAUGUGUGUUUGAAGUACUGCAAGACUGAAGACCAUUUGUCAGAUAUCUUUACAAAAGCUCUUCCAAAAGGCAGGUUUGAGUUAAGGGAGAAACUUGGAAUAUCCAACUACUGAUACAAGGAGGAGUGUUGAACGUGUGUAUCAGCAGUUGUUACUGCCAGCUGCACUGAUUGACCAAGUCUUUAGGAGAAUUUGUUUUAAUAUUUCAGUUUUUAAUUAGCUAAUAAAGUAGUGGCUAAAGAUUAGGAGUUAGUUACUCAUUAUUUGUUUUUAUUUAAGUCACAGCUUUGUAUUUUGACAGUAGUUUUUCAUUCAAUAAAGCUUAGUUUUUCCUUCCUAUUUUAUGAGUUACGUAUAAACACCAAACAGUAUUUCAUCCAGUAAUCAUAGGAUAAAUGAGCAUUGCUGUAACACUCAGACUGAACAAAGAAAUCAAGAAGAUGAUGCAGUCAAAGAUCAUACUAAAGAGCACAAAGCAUAUACAGCAAAUAGAACAAAAAAACACAGUCAAUAAAGAUUUGGUAUCAGCUGAUUAAAUGUGUUUCUAUGAAAAACAAAUUGUAUGAAAAUUUCACGGUAAGGAUUUAGUUAAGAAUCCAAAUUCAUUCAAAAGAAGAGGUUGCUGUUUAAUUUCCAUGAUAUUAUUGACAAUUGGUCAAACAUAAAAUGUACAUUUUAAAUGACGGAAGUAGUAAGGAUGUUUCGUAGACAAUUUAUUUUUUGUUUAUUUAUUUAUUUAAGUUUUCUCGUUGUUUUAAAGAAGAGGUGGUAGUGCAACGAUAUCUACUCUGUGAUUGGUCCACACGGCUAUAGGAUGUUGCAAGGAAGUUUCACUUACUACUUUUGUCAUUAGUUUUCUCCUUGUUUUAAAGAAUCCACCUAACAGACCACACAAAUUACUCAUUCAUAUUCUCCAUUUUCAAAGUCUUUUUUCAUCCAUAUUCUUUCAAUUCUCAUGGCUAUGCAAUCACCUUCCAGAGUGUUCCUCAAUUUCAGGGGCAGUGACACUCGCAACAAUUUUACCGGUAAUCUCUAUAAGGCUCUUGUUGACAAGGGAAUUAAUACUUUCAUUGAUGAAAAUGAUCUUCAAAGAGGAGAUGAAAUCACAUCAUCACUUGUCAAGGCCAUCGAAGAAUCUGGGAUUUUUAUUCCCAUAUUUUCUGCCAACUAUGCAUCUUCUUCAUUUUGUUUGGACGAACUUGUCCACAUCAUUCACUGCUACAACACAAAGAGUUGCUUAGUAUUGCCCGUUUUCUAUGAUGUGGAACCUACUCACAUACGACAUCAGAGUGGGAGUUAUGGUGAGCAUCUUACUAAGCAUAAAGAGGGGUUCCAAAAUAACGAGAAAAACAUGGAGCGAUUGCGUCAAUGGAAGAUGGCUCUUACUCAAGCUGCUAACUUGUCCGGCUAUCAUUAUAGUCCUCAUGAGUACCCUACUUUACUUAAAUCUUGUUUUUUAUAUUUUAUUUCUUUAAUUUUUAUGCCUAAAUAAUCUACUCUUAAAGCUUAAACAUGGAGGGAUUUCUAUCAAUGGUUUUAAAACUAGUGUAAGUUAUUUAUAUGUCAAAAAAGUUAGAAUUGCAUAAUAUAUUAUCAAUACAUGGAUGUGAUUUUGAUUCUAGUGUAUGUUCUAACUUACCUUAUUGGACAUGAAUAGAUCUGAAUGCAAGUUUAUUGAGAAGAUAGUCGAAGGCAUCUCCAACAAGAUCAAUCAUGUUUUUUUAAACGUAGCCAAAUACCCUGUUGGAUUGCAGUCCCGAAUAGAACAAGUGAAAUUGCUUCUUGACAUGGGCUCUGAGAAUGAGGUCCGCAUGGUAGGAAUUUUUGGUACCGGAGGCAUGGGUAAAUCAACACUUGCAAAAGCAGUUUUUAAUUCUAUUGCUGAUCAAUUUGAAGGUGUAUGUUUUCUUCAUAAUGUCAGAGAGAAUUCAACUCUUAAGAACUUGAAACAUCUCCAGAAGAAGCUCCUUUCAAAAAUAGUUAAAUUUGACGGUCAGAUAGAAGAUGUUAGUGAGGGAAUACCAAUUAUAAAGGAAAGACUAUCUAGAAAGAAGAUUCUUUUGAUUCUUGACGAUGUUGACAAACUGGAGCAGCUAGACGCUUUGGCUGGAGGACUUGAUUGGUUCGGUCUUGGAAGCAGAGUCAUCAUUACCACUCGUGAUAAACGCUUACUAGCCUAUCAUGUGAAUACAAGUACACAUGCAGUAGAAGGGUUGAAUGAGACAGAAGCUCUUGAAUUAUUGAGCCGAAAUGCUUUUAAAAAUGACAAAGUUCCUUCAAGUUAUGAAGAUAUUUUAAACCGUGUAGUUACUUAUGCAUCUGGCCUUCCGUUAGCUAUAGUAACAAUAGGGGCCAAUUUGAUUGGAAGGAAGGUAGAAGAUUGGGAGCGUAUAUUAGACGAGUAUGAAAAUAUUCCCGAUAAAGAUAUCCAAAGGAUACUUCAAGUAAGCUAUGAUGCUUUGAAGGAAAAGGAUCAGAGUGUCUUUCUAGACAUUGCUUGUUGCUUCAAAGGGUGUAAAUGGACAAAGGUUAAAAAAAUACUUCAUGCUCAUUAUGGCCAUCCCAUAGAACAUCAUGUUGGAGUGUUGGCUGAAAAAUCUCUCAUAGGCCAUUGGGAAUAUGACACUCAUGUGACCUUACAUGACUUGAUAGAGGACAUGGGUAAAGAAGUCGUCCGACAAGAAUCUCCCAAGAAGCCUGGAGAACGCAGUAGGUUGUGGUUUCGCGAUGAUAUAGUUAACGUUUUAAGAGAUAAUACGGUAAAGAAAACUAAUAUUUAUGAACAAUUUGUUGUUUUAGCUUUAGCCAUGACCUUGAUCAUCCUGCCACCUCAUACUAGUGUUUUUUAUUCACUUAAUUACAUGUAUAUUACUCUAUAAUAUUUGUAUUAUGAUUUAUUCUUUUUUUAUUUUGUUAAAAGGGAACUGGGAAUAUUGAAAUGAUAUAUCUCAAAUAUGCCUUCACGGCAAGAGAAACAGAGUGGGAUGGAAUGGCUUGCGAGAAGAUGACAAAUCUCAAAACACUUAUCAUUAAAGAUGGUAACUUUUCAAGGGGUCCUGGGUAUCUUCCAAGUAGUUUGAGAUAUUGGAAAUGGAUAAGUAGUCCUUUGAAGUCUCUAUCUUGUAUUUCGAGCAAGGCAAGUGAAAUAGGUUCAUUUUUCAAUUGUGUAUAUUGAUAAUUCACUAUUAGAUUAUAAUUUUCAUUUCAACUUAUUUAAUUUGUUUUUUUAUGAAGGAGUUCAACUAUAUGAAAGUUAUGACAUUGGACGGUUCUCAAUAUUUAACCCAUAUACCCGAUGUCUCAGGUCUUCCAAAUCUAGAAAAGUGCUCCUUUCGAGGAUGUGAUAGUUUAAUUAAAAUUCACAGUUCGAUUGGACAUCUAAAUAAACUUGAAAUCUUAGAUACAUUUGGUUGCAGCGAACUUGAGCAUUUCCCACCCUUACAGCUGCCCUCUCUUAAGAAAUUUGAAAUCACUGAUUGUGUGAGUCUCAAGAAUUUUCCAGAAUUAUUAUGUGAGAUGACAAAUAUAAAAGAUAUUGAGAUAUAUGAUACUUCCAUAGAAGAAUUGCCAUAUUCAUUUCAAAAUUUCAGUAAACUUCAACGGUUAACAAUAUCUGGAGGCAACCUACAGGGAAAGCUCAGGUUCCCAAAAUAUAAUGAUAAAAUGAAUUCAAUAGUGAUUUCAAAUGUGGAACAUCUUAACCUCGCAGGCAACAGCCUCUCAGAUGAAUGUCUCCCAAUACUUCUCAAGUGGUUUGUUAAUGUGACAUUUCUAGAUUUAUCCUGUAACUACAAUUUCACAAUUCUUCCCGAGUGCCUUGGUGAAUGUCACUGUCUUAUGCAUCUUAAUUUGAUGUUUUGCUUGGCUCUUGUGGAAAUUAGAGGGAUUCCACCAAAUCUUGAAAUUCUUUUUGCAGUCAUUUGUUAUUCAUUGAGUUCCUCAAGUAUAAGAAUGUUAAUGAGUCAGGUUUGUUGUUUUUUUAUUGCACUAGUAUUUGACAUAUAGUAUUUCAGUUCAUAGUGUAAUUAUUAUUCUUUUUAUAUAAAUUAACAGAAACUACAUGAGUCUGGAUGCACCCAUAUUCUAUUCCCAAACACAACGGAUAGGAUUCCUGAUUGGUUUGAGCACCAAAGCAGGGGAGACACAAUUUCUUUCUGGUUUGAUAAAGAACUCCCUUCUAUUAGCUUUACUUUUAUUCUUAUUAGUCAGGGGGACUACAUGUUACCAAUAGUCAAAUUCUUUGUGAAUGGCUAUGAAAAAGAGAUAAGUUGCGACGAAUUGACUAGGGAAUUCGGUGAGCUAGUGGAUGAUGACACUGUGUUGGAGAACCAUACAACUUUGUUGCAUAUAAAAUUGGAACAAGAUAAUGAACUCGGUGAAAGACUUUUGAAAAAUGAAUGGAUCCAUGUGGAGUUUAAGUUACAGGAUUAUUAUUGGCACGCUGAGAGAAGAUUAUUCAGAAAUACGCAAAUGGGAAUCCACGUGUGGAAGGAGAAAAGCAACAUGGAGGGGGGUGUGAGAUUCAUUGAUCCUUCAUUAUCACAAUUUAUGCAAAGAUUGGUGGAAGUGGGAGUUUCAGAGAAAGGGGAGGAGGAGGAGGGUUUUAGUGACACGGAGGAGGAUGUAAUAUUGAAGAAUCCUAAUAAUAGAAAGACUUGGGGUACAUUCCUUAGUCUAGGUGCAUCAAAAAGCAACACGGAUGGGGAUGAGAUUGAAAUAUUAAGCAGUGCACAAGAUGAAAGAAAGAUGUGGGGUACAUUCCUCGGUUUAGGUCCAUCAUAAAGUUAACCGUCUUCUUGUUAUUCUCUCAAUCUCAACAUUGCAGGUUUGUGCUUUGAUGUUUAUACUUUGUAUAAAUGUUGAUUAAUUUCUGUAUGUAGUCAGUUACAAAUUCAAUGUUUCUAGUUGGAGAAGUUUCUUAAACCAUGAGACAUGAUGUAAGUUUCUGUGUGUCUAACACCGAUACAUGUAAUACUAUUAAACUAUAUUAUUAUCUCAAAGGACUACCAAUGUCAACGAAUCAGUGUCGGUGUCUAGUUCGGUAUCCAUGACUGUGCUGAUGCUUCAAAAUGUCGAAAUGAAAGUUCUGAGUUUGCAAGUGCUUAAAGGUCAACAAGUAGAUUGUCUUACCGUAACUAUACACAUUUCGUAAACUUGUAUUGAUCUCAUUAAUUAUGAUUCAAAUUAGAACUUUUAUCUCAUAUCUCAUCUAACUAAUGGCACAUGUUUUCAGUGUAACCUAUAAAUGUAUGGAUAAUUUAAGUAGUACAUGCAUUUUUAACUUUUUUGAUGAAAUUUAACGUGACUGCAAUUGAAACAUGAUACACAAUUGAUCAAAAUUCCACUAGCUUAUAAGCCCGCACGAGUUUUACAAUGAGCUAAAUGGUUUGUCGAAUAAUCAAUAUCGAUCUUAUCUGUUGCAGCAUAACUCUAUUGUGUUACCCAUCACAUCUAUUUGAAUGCUUGUUACCUUCAGAGAGGAGAAGCCAUAGCUAUCAAAUUGAAUUUUUAUUUAGCUAUUACAUAAGGAUGAUUCAGAGGCAUCAGAAUCCAUCUCUCGCGGCCUUCAGCUACAACCCUUUAGUCCAGAAAUUUUAGAAGGUGUGGUGUAAUUGAACGGAUCCAAGAUUAAUGUUGUUACAAGUAUGAUUCUUAUAUUUUUAAAGAAUAAAUGCUUUUAAUCAUAAUCUGAAAAAGAAAUUGAUUAUUAUGCCAAAGUAAUAUAUUUCUACAUUUGUCAGGAAACCAUUUGCAACUGCCUUUCUUUUUGCAUUGUCAUACGAGAUGUCUAGAGGUGGUGGUUCACACCACAAAAUUCGUUCAAAAGGGAAUCAGGUAAUCAUAUGCUUUGCAGCUCAGUUGUACUUUGGUGUUUCCACAUUGGGUAUGAAUUGAUCAUUUCACAUAAUCCUUCUACAGCUCGACAUAUUUCAUUUCGUUCUAACCAUGCCUUCCGCUGGUGAGGACUUAUGUUUAGAUUAUUUCUGUAAUGAUCAUGAAAUGUCCCUUCUCCCCAAAAAUGCGGCAAAAACAGUCGCUAUUUUGUGUUCUGACAUAGAUAUUUGGUAGAACUAAAGAUGGAACGGGAAGACUUGUUCUAUACUAAAAAAUUUAUAAUGAAAUGUGUCUACUGUUUAUUUUCUAGCUAUGUUCUAAGUUGUUGUUGAUUUAUUUAUGUAAAUGUGCAUACCAGGUCGAAACGACUAUGAAGUGCUGAGUUUCUCAAACUAAACUCUCCUUACUGGGGAAGGAGCUUUCAGGUCUGCAAGAAAUUAUGUGGGAUAAAGAAAUAAAUCCGAGAACCGACAUUCAUGAGAUCCUUUUGCAAGAGUCGUGACUUUUGUUCUCCAAAAUCCAAAUCAGCGUUCUUGGUGUAGUACUCAAUGUACAACUCUGGUUUUGAUAUGGUGAGACCUGAUGUAAUUUUUUAUGGAGGAUGUUUGUGCUGCAUAUAUUGUUUGAAUUCGAUUAUUUCAUUACUGUACAUUUAGAUGCAUGCAUUAGAUUAUAGAAUGAACACCAUUUUAGAAGUACAUGUAAAUUAUGGAGGCCAACCUUGGAUAAUGUAUAUUUGAAUGUUUUAUCUAAAUGUGUUCUGAAAAAGCCAAUAUCAGGAACUUUGAUCUUGCUAACUUUUGUUGUUCAAUGAUUGUUAUUGCACCAAUAUUUCUUAUGCUAAACUGACAGAAACUAUAUUUCUUAUGCUAACUUACAUGAGGAUAGAUGCACCAAUAUUUGUUUUCCAACAGGAACAGAGGGGAUUCCAGAUUGGUUAAAGCACCAAAUCACGGGACACAAUUUUUUUCUGGUUUCGUAAAUAAAUCCCUUCUAUAACUAGUAUUAUUAUUCCCUUUCUGGAUCCGUCCGAUUCAAAUGAGAAAGUAGUCAAUUUGUCUGUCAAAGGCUAUGAAAAAGUAGUCUGGAUUAAAUGAUGUGAUCUGAAGCUGUCACUAGCAGAGUGCAGUAACAGUAAACUAUGGCCAACACUGCAGAGUGCAGUGUGGCAUGACUAGAAGAGAGAGGAGUCAAGGAAAAGUUAUUUCUGUUAUUCACUCGGAACCAUUAGUACUUUCAAAAUUCUACAGAUCUAAAAUAUAAGCCAGACCAUAUGCAUUAUACAGAAUAGAACUCUCAUUUUAUCGGAUGAAAUUUUUCGGUAUCCACAUAUGAUGCAUGUCCUGAGCAAACCUGCAUUCUUUUUUUUUUUUAAUGCAAAAUAAUCACUAACAUAUCCACUUGUUGAUUUGUUGCAAAUAGCUUAAAGUGGUUCUGUAAUAAAGUGAUUUAUCGUCACAUAAACAAGUGACUUAGAAGUGUUUCCUUUGAAUACUCGUGCUGCUGCAUAAUGAUUCUAAUUUUACCAAGCUUAAGUGUUUUAGACCUGAGUUGCACACACACAACAAGCACAAGCAAGUCACUUUAUUUCUGUGUAACGAGUAACUAAGCAGGUCAUGAAGUUGUUACGAGGAACACAACUUAGAUUUUAGAUCUUGAAUACUUGUAAGAGGCAUGAUUCUAUUUGCUGCACAGUUGCUGAUUGUGUAGUUUUAGAUGUGGAUUUUAUCUUGAAUUUUGGUUUAAAGUGUUUAUAGAAUAUUACAAAUACAAACUUCAUAGCCACUGUAUCAAUAAUUAGUAAUCUUUUUGGUGGGAGUGAUCUGGUAAAUUUUGAUACAACAACUUUGAUAGCCUUUGUAUCAGUAAUUAGUAACGAUGUAACAGAGAAAUUUUUGGCUAUUCUCGAAAUGAGCAGAGACAGCAAUCUAAGGGAAACUUUGACUUUGUGAUCGCUUAAGUGAGUUAUCAUUUUUUUUCUUUGCCACCUGCUAUGUGUUUUUUGAACUUUUGCAUAUUCUUGUCCUUCCUAUGAAUCAACUUUAAUAACCUAAAGUUAUAUGGUGUUUUAGUUAACUAUGAAAAUUGAAUAUUUGCAUUGUAUGUAGUGUUUAUAAUCUAUUCUGGUUUUUAUCUGAGUCAAAUGAAUUGACAAAAGCUUUCCUCAAUUUUUUUCGCUAGAUCAGGCCUGAACUUCAAUAUCCAAUCCAUCUGGAAUUUGGUAGAGUCCUAUGUGGGAAGAAUGGCAUAAUUAUCUUUCAGAAUGUAAGCUGGUACUGAUGCUUGGAUCGAUGUCCCUCUCUACUACUGAACAUAGACCAAGGGCCUUAACUGGCAAUUAGUUACACACAUUCAUGGAAACAAGGGUUGAAGCAUUCGCUCGCAAGCAACUCAGGUAAUAGAAUUUAAUUUUUAAUUAAAUGGGUUUGCCAUGAUCAUUCAUCAAAAUUCAAUUGCAUAAAGAUAUAAGCAAAUAUAUUCAAUUGCAUAAUUCUUUUACACAUUAUAAAAGAAGACAAACUAUGCAGUGGGGUCACUAUCACCGUAGUUUUUGGUUGAAGUCAUAUGUUGUUUACUUGUUGGUUUUUCAAGUUCUGACAUGAUAUUAUUUUUCUUCCCAUUUCCAGCUGAACUACUUUACGUGCUUCAAUUUUUUUCAAUCACUGCUAAAUUUUAGUGGAUAAGAAACAAAUGAAUCUAAAAAAUUUACGAUCAACCAAAUUCUGUUUGGAGGUGAAUGUUUCUUCAUAAUCUAACUUUGUAAAUGAAUUUUAAGUGAUUUGAAAACAUGGAAUAAGGUCUUCAAUAAAUAAAUAUGUAUCAGGUGCUUUUGGUUCAGUUUUAGACUUUUAGAUGGUAGGGAUCGUGCUUUUGGUUUGAUUUACAAUUAUUGUUUCUUGUACUGCUAUUGUGUAGGUCAGUGUUUUGUACUUUUUUUUUUGUUCCUUAUCUAAGUUUCUAUGGUCGGUCUUUUCGACUAUAAUGGAAUAAUACAUGUUAUGCUACUGCAAUGUAGUUAUUGCUUCUAGCAUGGCAUUUACUAGGCUGAUUUGGUCUUUUCGAACUCAUCCAAGGACUGCAGGAUUUGGAGGACUUGAUCGGAAUUAUGACAAAGCUUUUCAAUUUGGAUUUUAUGGAAGUAUAGGUUGGUCAAAUAUCCUUCAUGCAGAAAUUCAGGAUCUCCUUGUUGGUCUCAAGUUGUGGUGGAAAGCCCGGAAGUUUAUAUGCUAUUAUGAUUCUCUUCACGUGGUGCAGUUAGGUUCAAUGAACACUCAUCACUUUCACCAUUAUGCCAAUAUGUUGGAGAUUUAUCAGAGCUUACAUGAAGAAAGAUUGGAAUUUUUCUCUCCAUCAGACUUUUCCCGAGGGCAAUGCUUGAGCAGAUAUUCUAGCGAAAUUGGGAGUUAGUUGUAUAGAUACCUUGGUUACGGUCUACAUGCUGCCGCAGUUCUUCUCCUCGGCUUUGUUAGUUAAAAUUGUUGGAAUGUCCUUUAUUAGGACUUAGUAACCAAAAAGAAAAGGUUGAUGGAAAAACUUAAAUGGAUUUGUUGAAACCACCACAACCCUUUAUGUUGAUACCUUGCAUUCUCAUGUUACUAUGCCUCCAUUCCCCGAGUAAUACAGUGACUUCAAUCAAAUCCCAUAUAUAUAUUUUAAUCUUAUGGUCUCCUUUUUAAUAUGAUUGUCAAAUAAGAGGUUAAUGCAGAAAGUGAAUAUAGUUAGUUUGUGGUUCUAAUUGUGUUUUACCUCUUUAUAUCAAAUUGGUGCAAUUUUUACUUUCUAUGCUUUGGUUAGAUGUUAAUUAAUAUAUUUAUUUUGCCUCUUCAAAACAAACAAAAUCUAGAAAAGAGAAUUGUAAUGAAACAUUUUACCUCUAAGCAUUAUGUCCAAAAAGUGUUACAAACUUGAAUCAAAAAAGAAAAUAUUUUACAAUCAAACUACAAUUCAUUAUGUAUCAAUUUUACAAACCAAGUAAUGAGAUGGAGGGAGAGGAGAGUCCCUGCAACCAUAGGCGACCACAUCAGUGUCAUCAUCCACUACUGUCGGUGCUUGAGUUCCACUGUGUCUCCAUCAUAUUUGUGAGAGUUAACUUAAAAUCAGAAUUCUGGAGAAUCGUGCCACGAUGGAGAAGCUUCGUGCCACGAUUGUUGAAGCAAAAUUCUGGAGCAAUCACUGGAAAAAUCGUGCCACGAUUGAAUCGCAUCGUGGCACGAUGGUGCGAUUGAAGAUAAAAAUAAAACGUAUUUUUAUUGAAGAUUUGUUUCAGUUUUUUAAGGGAUUACUUUCACUAUAAAUAUAGACCUUGUAUCACAGUAUUUCUUGGAGAGAGAUAGAGGGGGCUGAAACAAGGGUUUAGAAUGGCAACAACAAAACUAGAGUUUGUAUAGAGUUUGUCUCUUUGGAAACACUAGGGUUUGAGGGUUGAUUCACCUUGGGAAACACUAUUAGGAUUGAGUCUCUUGGUUACGGGAAGAGGCUGGGACUUUGGGUAGAAUUAGGCGGGAGACUUAUUCUUGUAACCCAUUGACUUCUCUUUGUAACGUUACUCGUUAUAUAGUGGAUCGGAGGGCUGCUCUCUCCCCAGACUAGGUCAAUUUGGACCGAACUGGGUCAACAAAUUAUUUUGUGUUCUCUAUUCUUUUGUUCUUCUUGCUGUUGUUUUCUACUUUUGGCAUGUGAUUAUAACUGUUCCAUACGCUUUGAUUUUGGUUGCUUGACUAUCCCUUGCUCCACACAUCAAGUUGUUAUUGGUGUGAUUUUUCUCAUCGAAUUCACAACAAUAUUGUGUCGUUCAGUCAUCGCCGAUGUAAGAGAAACCAGGUGGUCGUUUUGUCGCCGGUAGUCCGCUGCUGCUAUUUUUCCCUCUCCUGAUUUCUCCCUUCCCCUCUCAUGUCUCACAUAUAAUCUUCCUCCAUCUCUUUUUCUGUCUGAUUGUUCGCAUAACAAUGCAACAAAACAUGAGAGUUGGCAAGAGUAUAAUCCAUGCAGCCAGAAUGAGAACAAUGCUGCUAUAACAUGUUAAAGUUACCAAACAUGUCAUAAGAAUUGGAACCAAUAAAUGUCAUGCUUAAUAUCAUUGAUAGCAGUGUGUUUUACAUCAACAAAAAAAAAAAAAAUGAACUCUCACAUAGAAGGCUGUGUGAUAUUGUGAAGUCCACUUGUAUGUAACUUGUCAUUGCUCAAUGAACAGAGCUUUGAGCGAUAAUUGUGUAGUACACAUUGUCACAAGCAUUACUUGGAACAAUUAGGAUCAUAUAUGUUGGAUCUAUAAUACAGAAAAAAGAAGGCAACUUUCUGAGAGUGUGUGUGCACGUGCGCACUUGUCGUGGAAGAUCAAAUUGAUAAUUAUAAGCGGCAGAAAUAUCUUCAUAAACAUUUAUCAGAUAAGAGAAAAUUGGGAAGGAACAAACACAUCAUAUUCGGUAAUGGCUACUUUUGAGCACUUGUACGAAAUUCAAAAUAACUAUCCGACAUUCAUAAGUGAUGUUACAUUGAACUUAAGCUACUUAUGAAAUGGCAUUCUCAAGACCUAAGGGAUGGCAAUGCAUCUUUGAACUUUUUCAGAAGGAGAAAACAAUUGGAAACAUUUUAAAAUCAAGCAAAACAGAAAACCAACAUUCUGUCACAAUCCUAGACAAUUUUAUCAUAAAAGACAAGUAGUGCUAGUGAUGCAGGCGAUAGUAUUUCAUCCGGUAAUCAUAGGAUAAAUGAGCAUUUCUGUAACACUCAGACGGAACAAAGAAAUCAAGAAGAUGAUGCAGUCGAAGAUCAUACUGAAGAGCACAAAGCAUAUACAACAAAUAGAACAAAAAAACACAGUCAAUAAAGAUUUGGUAUCAGCUGAUUAACUGUAUCGCUAUGAAAAACAAAUUGUAUGAACACUGUAAGGACUUAGUUAAGAAUCCAAAUUCAUUCAAAAGAAAUUGAAGCUUCUAUAGGUUCAUCCUCAACUUUGCCAACUUAAAAUGAAAUUUAUGUGAGAGAUAUAUGAAUACAAAAGAUAUUCGAAGAGAAUGUUCUUAAAUCACCAUAACUUAUAACUUGAUAAAUAAAAAAGAGAGAUGUGACAUAUUGUUAUUUUGUGUUUUGCUAACCAUGUUUGUUUGUGAUUUUAUUUUAGUGUUUUAUUAUGCAGGGUGUCAUGCAGGAAGCGCGGUGGCAUCCAAUUCACAUCUAACUUAGUGCUGAUCAACAACGUUGCAGUGCAGUGGAUAUUGUAAAGACUUAUGUGAAGGGAUCAACAACCGGGUGGAAGCCAAUGAGCAGAAACUGUCUUGGCCGGUGAGUCAAUGUCAGUCUUUCAAAGUUACUAAUAGUGAAUGUCACAAAUCUAUGUUGGUUAAACAACUUCAGAACGAAAAAAUGUUGAGAAUUGUUGCAAUACCAAGAACACUAUCUGGAACACUAAAUCAGACAAAACCAUGUUCAUAAUUUACAGUUUACCCUCUUACAUAAGUUACUAAAACACUAUCUGGUGUUUCUACCAAAACUAAUUUACAGAUUAUAAAGUUUUCCAUAUAUAAAUUAUUUCUACUUAAAGCUAGAGGUCAUUCGGUAAAGGCAAAAGGUCAUUCAUUUUAUUGAUAUAGAAACCAGAUAUGUUUGCGAAUAAAACGAGUAAGAUUCAAACUAAAAAUGCAAAAGCAAGAUCAAGUAGUUUCUUAGUAUACUUGACAAUCAUAUACUUCUUUGUGAAAAGUAAGAAAAAUUUGCCUUACUUCAAUAUUUGUACGGUAGUUUAUUUUAUCUCUUAUCUCAAUAUUUGUGUGUAAGCUGCAUUUUCCAAAGGCUUUCUUAGUUAUGUUAUUUGAUGAAAAAAAUUAUAGGGACUAAAACUUGAAAUUUAAAAUUUUUAUAGGAAUAAAAAAAAUACAUUUAACAUUUUUUUUAAACAUAAGUUCUGGUAAUAUUUGCACAUUGACUACUUGAGUUCUCAAGAUGCCGCUGGUUGAAUAGAAGACUGCAGCUGGUUGCUGCAACUGGGUGUAACACUCCUAUUUCUAUUUAAGCAAUUAAACAUGCGAAUAAUACAUUUAUUUAAGAAAUAGAGAUUACGUCUUAUUCAAAAUUCAAAAACCGAUAGACAUAUAUAUGAACUUCAACAGUCGUAGCGGAAUAUAAAUCAGAGUGAUCAAAUAUAUACAUGCCAUGAGCAAAUAAAUCAUGUUUCAAGGAUAAAUCUCAAAACCCAAACAUACGGUAGUCAUCAACAAAAUCAUAAUCCAACAGAAAAUAUAAACAACCUAAUCUAGACCGACACGACAAGCCUAGAUCAGAGCCGACACGACCCGAUAUCGGAGAAAGCUCCCGAUAUCCCACGCAAAGACUCACCGAGCACUACUCCUGCACAACGUCUACUCACCCAUACAGGCAAGUAGGCUGUUAAAACCACUGAGGGUAAGCAUUACAUUAUCAUAAUCCAGAUAAAUAUCAAUCAAAUAAUAUCAUGUACUUGAAUAAUAUUAGUCAUGCAUAAAUACUUACAUCACAACUCGAUAUCUAAUAUCAACAUACAUCAAUCACAUAAAUAAUUACCCAACCAUAAAUAUUCAUUCACAACACCAAUCAUUAUCAACAUACAUCAAUCACAUGAAUAAUUACCCAACCAUAAAUAUUCAUUCACAACACCAAUCAUUGAACAAUCAUUAUCAACAUUCAUUCAUUUCGUUUCAUCACCAAUCACAUAUUUCACAUAGGACUCAUGUUAUGAUAUGCACUUAUGGACGCAUAAAUGCAUGUGGUACCAAAUCUCAACAAGGUCGUCACCUUUCGAUGCCACUUGCACAUCGAAUGUAAGGGCUCACACCUGCCUUACAAUAAUCUCGAAGUAAAAGAGUCAUCCCUUUUACAGCAACAACGACUAUGAUGCAUGGACAUGUGUAAUGACUCGAUAAUGCAACAACAAUUCUCAAUCUCAACUCAAUAUAUAGGACAACACCCAAUUAUAUUGAUUAUCUCCACAACAUUGCAUUACCAAGAAAGCAUGCCCACACACAAUUAAAUCAUAGUAUUCAUCAUCACACAUCAACAUAUUUAUCAAUAAUCAACAAUGUCAUCCAACAUCAAUUACAUGAUUUUCAAUAAUCAACAAACAUCACUUAUCACGUAUGAUUUUACAAUUCAAGAAUUCUCAUAUUCCAAGUAAGAUAGCAUACACUUCUCAUGAUAAUUAUCAUAUCCAAAAUACAAUCAUUCAUUCAUACAACUUCACUUAGUCAUACAAGAAUGGUCACAACAAUUCAUAAGACAAUACAACUUCAAGAUUCACUAGACCCCCUUUUCACAAGGUUAAUUCUUCCAUAAAAACAGCCCUAGAUGAUUAGGAUAAAGUCCCUAUACAUAGAAAUAAGUUUGGAAACAAUUGGAUCAAAGAAAAUUGCAUUUUUAAAGUUUCUGGUCAGGCAAAAUCGUAGUCCAAUUUUUCUCCAUCGUAGUACGAUUUUUUUCGAACUGAAACACCCAAAAAUCUGGUCAAAAUCGUAGCCCGAUGAAUAAAAUCGUAGUCCGAUUUCUGCCUGACAGACAAUAUCAGAUUUUCCAAUUUUCACGUUUUCGCAUGUAAAAACCAAACUGUUAAUCCGUUUUCGGUGCUGUUUUCCUCUACUUGUUCAUGACACUUAGCCCUAUCUUAAUAUGCAGAAAAUUUCAAGUUUCAACAUUCCCAAAUUCAUUUUCCAAAACCCUACACAACACUCAUUUUCCAAAACGGUUAACAAUUGAAUUUUCACCCGAAACUCCCGUUUUCUUCCAAAACGACUCGACUAUCAUAACUACAACCUAAAAACAGAAAUUCCAUCAAGUUUAACUCAUCCAACCACAUAGACAACUCAGUUAACAACUUUGUAUAUCAAAUUUCACUUUGUUCCUUCACUUGAACAUCUAGCACAACUUCACCAAUACAAACAACUUAUUUCAUAAAAUGGAAUACUCAUGAUAUCAUUCAAUAACAACAACAUAUCUACUUCAACAACACUUCAUUUAGACAUGAAUUCAACCAUAAUUCAACAACACAAUAUCUCAAUCCAACAAUUGAGCAAAACACAUAAGUAUUCAUUUUCACCCAACCAACAACAACAACUUAUUUCACAACAACAAUUAUGAAUCAUGCAUACCCAAACCAUGAAUUAGCAUCCAUAACAUCACUUAACAACAACAACAUCUAUUGAUCAUGAAACUUAUCACAAUUCAUCAACAACCAUGCAUAAUUCACCAAUUGAGCAUAAUUUACAAACUACCCAUUUUCAUACAUUAUGAACUUGCAAUUUCAUCAUCAACAAUUCAUUUAACAUCAAAUUAACAUAUUCAAACAUAUCUCUACAACAUAAGCACGAAUUUCAAAGAUUGGGUUCAUGAUAAUCACUUAUUCUCAUAAUCAAUUAUGCAUAGAAUCAAGAGAAAAAGAAUUAAUCAAAUGAUUAUGAUAAAGACUAACCCCCUUACCUUAGGUAAUGCUCAAUCUAAACUUAGGCUUCACUUUAGCUCCUAACCUCACUCCAAUCUUGAUUCUUCAAGCUCUCCCUCUUCUUCUCUUCUCCCACUUUCUCUCUCUACCUCUCUUUAGGAAAUAUCUUGUGAAAUGAAUGAAAUGAUAUUCUCCUAAGAUAACUCAUUAGGUUUAACUCUUAAUGGGCCUAACCUAGUUUCUAGUGGGCUUAACCCAUUUCUAUUCAAACCAAAAAUAUUUCUACACUUCAAACGAUAUUAACUCAUAACGGUAAAAACUAAUCACUACACUGAUAACUUAGUAAAAUAAGGGUUCUCACUAACUAUUAAAAUAAUUCUCACCAAAUUACCAUGUUACCCUUACCCGCCAAAUGACCAAAAUACCCUUCUAAUACGGUAAUCCAUGUAAUAAUUAAAAUAAAUCUAGCUAAAAAUCGGGCUGUUACAUUGGGGCCAUGGAUGUUCUUAUACCAGACCUUCAUUUGAUAUAUUCAAGGUCACAUUUCUCUUUGCAUCCACACUACCGUUUCUAUUUGAAAACUUGGAUAAUGAUAUAUGUCCCGGAAAAAUUACUCGCGAAAGCAUCACGACUCCCAACAGCUGAAGUUCAUUUGCGAUGGUGUCAGAAAUGUUUGCUUCAUGAUGAAUAGCACUGCCCUUUGAACUUUUAGGCAGCAUCUGACUUUGGUAAUGGUAUUAUUUUUCCAUAAAUCUCAAAGAAGCUAGAAAAGAGGCUUUAAAAUAGUCCCACGUCGACCCAACAAGUAGCAAGCUAUUGUUAAUGAAUGAUAUGGGUGUUAUAAAGAACACCUCAUUGCUCAAGUUAAAUGAUACCAGACAUGGUCUACCAGGGCUAUGAUUUUUACACAACCAAUGAUACACUCCAUCCAUAUAGACAUGGGUGUUACGAAGAAUGCGACAUUAAAUGUUGAAGAUGCAACAUGUGCCGUGCUGUGCUCACGGUGACAUUUGGUCAUACACGCUUUUCAAUUUCUAAAAGUUAUUCAAUGUCAAACAAAUUUACACAUGCAUAUAUAAGCUUAGUUCCUCGUAAACCUCUUCCGUAGAACUUUGAAAGUUAGAUUAAUCUAACAUAUAAGAAGAUCACAUCUUGAUCAUUAGGUCAAUCAAACAGACAAAAUUUGGUAAUACAUUAUUCAAGUAGACCACUGAACAAGUCAUUGAUAAUACAUUCAAACUAAAAACUGCAUAAUUAAGCAUAAUUAAAUUAAGGCCAAGUUUUCUAUUAUCAUGUCUUAUGAACAUGAGUGCUGGAAAAAAUCACAGCUCUAUAAUAAAUACUGCUUAUAAUGCAUGAGAAAUGAUAACAAUUAGCAUGCAAUCGCAGAGAAGAUGCGACGACUUAUUUCAUCAACGGAAAUUUCUUCUGAAGAAUGGCCAUCUGCUACUUGUCCAAUAAGUUUUUAUCUUUUUCAAGUCUUCAUUCUCACUCUUAUAUCAGGUAUCAUUACAGAAUUCCAUUCCAUCUCUCUGUCAUUCUGUUCAUAAAAAUUCAAGCAAACAUAUGAGAGUUAGCAAUAGUACCAUUCAUGCAGUCAGAAUGUGAUCAACAAUACUAGUAUAACAUGUUUAAGCAAGUGCAUUUCCAGAUAGCGCUCGGCCAUAACAAAAAAUAUCAUGAAUUUCAAUCUUCUAAAGUGAGAAAAUCAAGGGUUGUAAUUUUAAUACACCCGUGAUUUGUUAUGAUGUAUCUACAACAGUGGCGGAGCCAUGUGUGUACUGGGUAUGGCCAUGACCUACCCACUUAUUAUUGAAAAUACCAUAAUACCCCUGGUUAAUUUUAAUAUCACUGCCAUAUGCUAACAUCUAGCUAAGAUCCUACUUUGUGAAAUCGCAGGUACUAUUUUUACAAUUCAUAUCUUAACAUAAUUAAGGAAAAUGUCAGUGUCCAGUUAUUUAUUUAUUUUUUGGUUCUGCGUCUGUUGAAUUGGGUUUCACAGAUAACACUACUGCUGCUGUAGCUAGUGCUGCAGUUAGUGUUACUUCUGGUGUUCUGCUAGAUAUGAACAAUUAGUGUAGAGCCCAAUUGAUGUUAUGAGUCAAAGACUAAUGUCAAGGCAGUUGUAAUGGUAGUGGUGGAAAGAGUAUUUUGGAUUUUUGGUUAAUCUUUAUUUUCUGAGAAUUAUAGAAAUGGUUUUGAUGUGUUAUAGAAAAUUCUUUAUGCUUAUGGGCAAGAGAAUUCUCUAUUUCAAUAUUGACUUAUGAAGCAUAUAAUGUUGUUUGUUUGACUUCUUACUCUAUGGUUCAUAGGUUCAUAUGGGGUAGUUUUGGUUCAUGUUUGACUUCUUACAUCAUUUUGAUAAUUUUAUUUCUUUGCAAUAGAAAAAUCAAGAUGGAGAAUAAAAAAUUUCAUUCAUUUUACACGAGGAAGGCCAAUGAUAUUGAAAGAUAAGAAGACCUUAUAAUUUCUUAAUCUCAACCUGAACAAGUUUGUGAGAAUCCAAGAAUUGAAGAAAAUGAGCCUUGUCAGUUUAUAUUGAAAGGGAAAGUUAGUGUAUCUAUUAGUUCCGAGUCAGUUAUUGAUGAUUUCAAGUCACUCGGAAAACGUAAAGUGUCACUUUAAAUAUUUAAUUACUGAUUUUAUGUAUUAUGUAGUUUAAAUUUUGAAUUAUCGAUUUUUGAUUUAUUACAACAUAAAUAUGUUGUAUGUAAAUAUGAUUUAUAUAUUUUAGUUUAUUUUGAUGGUGGCCAUCCCUAAUAUUUUUGUCCGGCUCCGCCAAUGAUCUACAAUGUAUCUCUUUAAUAUGUUAAUUACUGAAAGUAAAUGUACCUUAUAAAAUAGAAGAAUAAAAACCAAUGAGUAAUACAACUACUGCAAUGAAAUGUAUCUCAGAGUAUAUGGUAUGUUAACUCCCUACAUAUCUAAGUAUAUGCAAUGAUACACACAGUAUAUUUCACCACCUAUAGUAUAUUUCGACAUUAAGCAUAGAUAAAAUUUAACAAAAAAAAAAAACAUUAAGUAUAGAUACACUAUAUUCCAGUACCACCCCUUCAAUGUUACACUAUCAUAGAUCCUCUGUUACUCAAUUGUAACUAAUAUACAAUUAAGUUCAAUUAUACAUUUCUUCUGUUACUUAGCAGAAACCCUUGCCUCUCCAUUCACCCCUUUAUUGAGUUUUAAUUCAAGUGAUAGACUUAGGAAUGAUUGGUUAGUUACUAAGUUUAAACAAACUCAGGAAGUUCCAGUGCAAGUAACUACACUAGAGUUAAUUAGUUCAGAAAGCAUAUGGCUUUAUUAUGAACCAAAGACAUCAACACGGACACUUAACAUGACACAGACAUGUUGGCACCACUAGUAUAAAGACAUUCUAGCUUCUAGGUAAACGGGUGACUCUGGAGUUAUGCAACACUUCACACUCGAGCUUGUUCUUAUCAUGUUCAUCAAUGUCAGCUUCCUAAAUACCAUAAAAAGCAAAUCCAUUGUUACCUAUGAACCACAGACAUCAACACAGACACCUACACAAACAUGUUGACACCACUAGGUUAAAGAUAUAGGACACUGACACCACUAGUUUAAAGAUAUAGGAGACUGACACCGCUAUAUGCAUUUAUUUAUUUAUUUAUAAAAUAUCAUAAUUGAGAACUAAAAUAUAUACAACAAGAAAGCUGAAAAUGUUAUAUCAAACUUAAUGUCUUUUCUUGUGUUUUAACUUGAGCUCUGAUUAGAUGAAUUUUGCAUGGCACUUCUGGUAGUUAUUGAACAUGCUGUUCUCUUGUAUGAUAGCGAAACGUAAAGAAUUUUGCUGAUUAAACCUGCUUUUGAGUAAUCCAGUUACUCUGUAUAUUCUUUAGUACAGUGAAUAUUUUUUCAUGGGAUUAUUAUGUUACUUGUAGGCGGGGUAAUACUGAUAGUUAAUACGUAUUUUCAUCAUAAUUAGAUUUAGAUUGCUACUUUCUAGACCAACUAACCUGACAGCGAAACUGUUAACUAGUUAAAUAAAGAAAGCUAAGAUCUCACAUCGUUGAAUUUAACGUGUUACAACUUACAAUAGUUCUUGGAACAGGAAUUUUAGAAUUUUUUAAACUUGGCCAUUCUAAGACGAUGGUGAUGACAAUGAUAAUCACAAACAUGCCUUAUCAGCGAUAUAUAUUUAAAAUCGUGGCCCGGAACUAUCCAUAAUUUGGAGAAUAAUUCUAAGAAAUAAAGACAAAGCUUUGAGUUUCCGGUGUAUUAGCAUAUUUUAGCAUAAAACUACUUAGACGGUGUACACAAUUUUAUUAGCAUAUUUAAAGAUAACCUAAAUAAUUUGGUCCUCUAUCUCUACUUGAAGAAUCAGCAACAAAUUUGUUAACCAAAAAAUAUUAUGCAUUAAUAUAAGCAAUGUUCAGAAUCAAAUCUAAUGUUUCAGCUUAUAUCUAGUAAAUACAGCCUCACCACCAUUUUCUCCACCGAUAUCUUUGUCUACCGCAUGUAGUCAUAUGCAAUAGACAAUCCUUUCCAUUAAUUGGUAACCUUUCCAUUAAUUUGUAAUCGGAUAGUCUGAAUCACACAUUCAAAAAAUCACCUUUAAAUAAUCUCAAAUAUCGAUAAAGAUUUGACUGUCAAUAACAGUUUUACCGUGACACACAAACCUUAUGUUUUAUUAUCAUUAUUAUAUUAUAAAAUAUAAUAGCAAGUGAUGUGAUGUGAUGAUUACACAAGUUUAGCGACUUGGGUUCAUUUAAUUUGGACCAGUUAUACUUUAGGUUGAACUUGGACCACUCAAAUGACCUACAAAUGUAGGUUUGAAACCGGUCAAAAGUUAUGAAGCACACAACAAGUGAAUCGUACCAACCUCGAAGCUAUUAUUAUUGAGAAAUGAUAUUUGUACAACCAUUUUGUGGCAAUUUUUGUACAACUUUAUCUCUCAUACUCACAUUAUAAUUUUAUUCUCUCUCUUCAUUUUUCUCUCUCCUUUAUUUUUGACCAAUAGAAAGAGAGAAAAAUGAAGUUGUCAUGGUAGUUGUCAAAAAUGGUUGUUCAAAUAACACAACUCAUUUUUUUUUUUUUGGUACAUCACUACUCAUUAUUAUUAUUAAAUUUAAAAAUAAAUAGAACGGUCUCAUAACUAUUAAAAUUUAUAAAUCAAAGAGUUAAAAUUAAAAAUUUAAAUCUUUAAAAAAAAAAAAUUAAUAAAGUCUAUGGUACAUCAUCCACAGUAUUGAUCCAGUUUAAACGUUUAGUGUUAAAAAUUUAAAGGAGAUGACCAAUGACCGGGUAUAUAUAAGGGAGUAAUUUACAAAUUUUAAUAACUAUGAGAUUAUUUCAAAACAAAAAUUAAGCAGCAACAAGUAUUUCAAUUCUUCUGAUGUGAAUCAUAUUAUCUCAGUUCUUCUCCUCUUCUCACUGACGACUCACUCGCCUCACCCUAACGUCUGUAUUAUCUCGUCUCUCUCACCUCUUGUUGUUAGAUAAGCUAAGGUAAGCCAAUCGAUUCUCCAAUUUCUCAUUUCUUCUCUAUUUGAAUUGGAUUCAAGUUUUUUGUUUUAAUGUGCUCCAAGUGUUCGACAAAAUGCCUGAAUGAUUAAAUUUCUGUUACUUUAAUGGUGAGAAAAGACUUUGUAUGUACGUUUGUUUGUAUUUAAUUAUUUAUGGUUCUAAGUUUGUUUCAUUUUGGAGCAUAAUUUGAAUGAAAAGAGAUGAUAUGAAUCAUUACCAAUUACUUUGUUUUUAAUUGUAAAUGUUUCUAUUUGUAUAAAUUUUGUGCAUAUCACUUGCUUGAUAAUUUGCAUGAAAAAGGAUGCGAUGAAUCAUUAACAAUUACUUUGGUUUUAACUGUUAAUGGUUCUAUUUCUGAGUUUUGUUUACGUGCUAGGGUUGUAUACGUGUUUGAUGUGAUUUAAUUAGGUAGAAGAUGGAAGUUUUGUAUGGAACUUGAAAUUUUCUUGAGGAAGUUUUAUAUGCAAAUCUUGAUAUUGUAAGUGAUGUGAUGUAAGUUUAUGAUAAGUGAUGAUAAUGUUGUAUUAUCUGACUAGUAGCUGAUAGGAGUCUAGUGAGAGAACUUCUGUUAAUGGGGAUUAAUCCUAGAGCUAAGUAAUUGUAAAUAUAACAUUGAGGAGGUAAAAAUUUCUGCAUGUUUUUGUUGCUAAAAAGAAUGCUACUGUUGUAAAUACCUUAGGCCAAAACUCUGUCUUCCAACUUCGUCUUCUUCUUUCCGCAACGAAACGUUACGAUGAACAUGCUGGAUUGUUCUCGAAUCUAAAAGGUGCGAAAAAAUUAUCCUCCCUAAUCCUCAUGUUAUUUAAAUUAUCCUUACCCAAACAACAAGUUUUGUCUAUAAUGUUAGAAUUAAUUUGAUUUUAAUGAGUUUUAAUGGGUGGAACGGUGGAUUUUGUGUCUAUAUUUUAAAGCUGAAAAAGUUAAUUUAAGCAUAAAGUAAUAGAGAGUAUUGAUUUUUGUAUUUAGUCCUUUACUUGUGUGAUAAUAUGUGCAGGAACCAAGCCAUGGCCUCCAAGCUGCUUUUGCAGAGAAGGCUCUUCAGGUUCUUGCGACAGUCACAACAAUCCUCAUACUCCUUUUCUUCUUCAUCUUCCAUUCAACGAUCCUCGUUCCAUUCUGCGAAACAAACAGAAAUAUCGGGUUUCUCAACUUUCUCUAGAAGCUUCUGCUCUCGAAAGUCCAGUCUUGUUGAUGAAUCUAAUGCCCCCGCACCUAUUGAUUACACGUAUGACACAUCCUUUUGUGUUUUUCGUCCCUUUGUCUCAUUUGAUCCGUGAAAACUCUGUAAAUUUGAUUUUUUAGAUACUUUUUUUUUAAAAGCAAAAAAAUAAAAAAAAAUUGUCCCUCUGAAUUUGAGUUUUUUUUUUUUUUUUUUUUUUUUUGAAUAAGGAAAGUGUUAAAAUAAUAUUAUUGAAAAUCCAAAUGUCAGUGGCAAUUGCUAAUGCCUCGCGGGCCAUUAAUGCGUAGUGUUGAUUGAAAUAGAUGUUGUGUUUUGUUUAUUCCUUUCAAAUGGCUGGUAUGCUUUUGCUAUUUGCUAAUGAUUAAUAUGGAUGCAGUUCUCUACUGCAGGAGGGUGAAUUCCAUAGACUGGCCGAGUCCACAAUACAUAGCCUUCAAGAGAAAUUUGAGGUAUCUAUUCUCUAGCACUCCUGGAAACAGCCUCUUGUGUAAAACAGGGUAAGGCUGCGUACAAUACACCAAAUGAAGGGACCCCUUCCCGGACCCUGCAUAUGCGGGAGCUCUAGUGCACCGGGUUGCCCUUUUUAUUCUCUAGCACUGUUUUGAGUUUUACACGAACUUAAAUUUAUUAUAUGAUACGACAAUCUCGGUAUCCACUUCAAAUUAUGUAUUUGAUCUAACAAUUGCCAACAUUAUUUGAUAAAUAUAGAAUUUUGAUACAAUUAUGCUUAAAUUCAAAUGUGUUUCGAUAAAAUUAGUAUUGGUUGUGAUGGAAACUUGACAGUGACAAUGUUACACUUCAUAUUAUUUAAGAGUUUAAACUACAUUGGUUAUUAUUUUGGUUUAUUGUUACUUGGCAGGACUAUGGAGACUUUAUCGACCUUGAUGGAUUUGACAUAGACUAUGCGGUGAGAAACUUAUUUGGAGAGUAUGUUAUAGUUUUAUAGAAGAUAGGUAGCAAGCAGCUAAAAUUAUUUCUUAUAUAAUAUCCUACAACUUAUGUAUUUUAGAAGACAACACGGAAGCUAUCUUGUUGUAUGUGAUUAUUUCAAAAAUAAUCACAUCGAUAACUUGAUAACCUUUUUUAUCGAUGAAACUCAGUUAAGUAGUUUGAUCUUUUGAAAAUUAAAUGCUUUCUUUUCCCUGUUAAGACUUUAAAUAAUUUAUUCCUAUUAGUUUUAAGAAGCAUCAUCCCUGUGUCUGUGUGGGAGAUAUACUAAUUGUUAACAUGGCUUUCCUUUUCAGAAUGAUGUUUUGACUGUCAAACUUGGGGAGUUGGGCACCUAUGUAUUGAACAAACAAACACCAAACAGACAACUUUGGCUUUCUUCACCAGUGAGGUAUUUUAUUGUAUAUAUGGUUUUUUUUUUUGGUUUUUUUUUUUAAGAUGUAUAUUUUUUAUAUCAGGUUUUACUCUCUACUAGCCAUCAGUAUUCAUGUAGUAAGUAUAUGGCAUGUGAGUACUUCAUAGAAAACUACAAUAUCCAUGCUUACUUAAUAUUUCCUAGGAUAUCAUUACUAAAUAUGAACUGGAGAUAACAAAUCCAAUUAGUAUUGUAAACAAUCUUCUUUAAUCAAACAGGCUAUUUAUAUGUUAAUAGUUGUGUAUUUAUUAAGGCAACCCUAUUGGGAAAAACCCAAGUCCCACAUCGGAUAGAUAAGACUCAUGAUAAUAGUUUAUAAAGAGGAGACACUCCUCACCUUAUGAACCGCUUUUGUAAGGAUGAGUUAGGCCCCAAAUUUCAACAUGGUAUCAGAGCUUGUCGAGUUCAAAGGGCACCUACCUAUCCACGCACCAAGUCUAAAAAGAGUGAUGGGCGUGAGGGGGUGUAUUGGGAAAAACCCAAGUCCCACAUCGUCUUGAUAAGACUCAUGAUAAUAGUUUAUAAAGAGGAGACACUCCUCACCUUAUGAACCGCUUUUGUAAGAAUGAGUUAGGCCCCAAAUUUCAACAUGGUAUCAGAACUUGUCGAAUUCAAAGGGCACCUACCUAUCCACGCACCAAGUCUAAAAAGAGUGAUGGGUGUGAGGGGGUGUAUUGGGAAAAACCCAAGUCCUACAUCGGAUUGAUAAGACUCAUGAUAAUAGUUUAUAAAGAGGAGACACUCCUCACCUUAUGAACCGGUUUUGUAAGAAUGAGUUAGGCCCCAAAUUUCAACAAACCCUGUGUAAUUGAAGUUUUACAUAUGUUGGUGUUUCUUGUCCUUCGCAUGUUGGUCUUUCUUAUCUUAUUGGUGGAGAAGAAAGAAGCAAGGAUUUGAAAACUUGUAGAAACUUUCCCUUUGGUUUAAUUGCUUUAUUUGAAGUGUUAUCUUAUAGUUUCUUUGUGAGGAAAUUGAGGAUAUAUACAAUAUUUUAUCAGGGUUCAUUUUUAAUGUUUUUCUUCAGGAGGAAAGUACUGUUAUGUAAAUUGAAUCUGAGCUCACGGAAGAAAUGAGUAUAGUAGUAAUUUUUAAUAUUUUCAAUUCUAUUAAAAUAUAGGUUUAGUUCUUUGCAUUGAGAGAUGUUACUAUCUUGUUAUGUAGCAAGAGCAUAUGCAGACCUUGUUAUAUAGCAAGAACAUAUGCAGACCGAUCUUGUCUGUUUGUACCAUAAGAAAUGGUAUCUUACUCUUGUUGUAUCUCCGUUCAAUGCUAUUUUGAUUAUCAAUAAAGAAGUAGGACGCAUUCAGCCUUAACUCUUUAAGUGACAUUAAUUAUGAUCGAUUGUAGCCACCGGAAUUUUCUUAUCAUUUUGGAGGAUUCUAAGACUCUCAUGUCGGAGAGUCUCACCUAAUAAGUGAAACUUAUAAGGAGUUUUCCCAUCUAAUAGUCUAGUCUUUUAGAUGAGCUCUCCCUUUGCGAAAACUUGAACUCGAUAUGAGCAAUGUGUUUUUGUGAUCCUUCUGUGGGGGUCAAGUUUUAAAACCCAUAUUAGAAAAAGCACACAGAUUGUGCAAAAACUAAACCUUGUCACUUAAGUUUGUCCCUGUAAUCCUAACUCCUAAGCCUCUUGCAACUGCUGUUCAACAGCCCUAAUUUUUGUUUGUGGGUUCUUUAUUUGAUAUGAUCCCUCCGUUUUCCGUUAUCCAUAUGCAAGGGCUUCCUUUCCAGUUCUACAGAGAGGUUGCUACGUGUUCUUCUCCCCUGCUAUACAGCCACUCAUCUUCCUUUUUCCAUGCGCUGCUGCGACUGCUCUUCAUUUCUGACACGGUCCAUUUUUCCUCUGUUUGUGUUGUGUGUUUGUGCUUUGUUCUGUUUCUUCCGUGUUCGGUGUUUUUGUAUUUGCUAUCUGGAGCUAUUACUUGUAUAUGCAUGAGUUUGUGAAAUUUGUGGGAUAAUACAGGAUCUUAAGUUUGUCUACCUUAUUCCUACUAAUGGGUUAGCCUGUUGUGGUGGCUCUCCUUUUGACCUUAUUCACAUAAUAAAGGCCUUUGUAUGGUUUUGAGGCUUUAAGUGCAGUUCGAUUUAUUUUAAGUAGAAUACAGUUUGAUCCUCUUGACGUGCAUUUUUUUUAGGAAAAUAGUUUUCUAUUUUAUCAUGCUUGUCUUUUUAAUCUGCUUUGCCUAAACUAGACGGCCAUUGACAUAAAACAUAGGACAGAAUAGGUAUAAUAAUAAAAAUGAGACUUGCAUAUUGACAGUAUCUAUUUCUCUACGAGUUCUACAUUCUCUUCCACCUGUCUAAAAGUCUCCCAUUUCUAUUGCAGUGGUCCGUCUAGGUUUGAUUGGGAUCAGGUUACUAAAGCUUGGAUAUAUAGGCGGAACAAAGCAAAUUUAUACAAAAUCUUAGAAGAUGAGUUGGAGCAGUUGUGUGGCAAACCUAUUGUUCUUUCCUAAGCUGUUGAGAAUGUGGUACUUAAUCUUGAUUUAAAAUUUAAAAAUGGGAAAUCAUUGGACAUUGUUGAUGAUCCUUUGGCAUUCAGGUGUACUCAGUAAGCAGAUUUUGUUCCUUUGCCACCUUUUACUCUGUAAACUAUACCAGUUCUUUCACAAUCAUGACGUGAUUGUAUCUUCUGAAUAAUCAGCUCUAUAUAGAACUCAUGUGGUUGACAUUAGUUUACUCUUCUGAAGAAUUACAAUUGUAAUGGGCAUUAUUGUUGGUUACUACUGGUGAGCUAGAGCAACUCAAAUGGUGAUCUUUAUCAAAGGUUGUUUUGCGGGUCCUCUAACCACAUCAUCUUGAAGCAACUAUUUUUUUUCAUUUGUUCCAAUGAUAAAACACUAAAGAACUGAUAUUAGAACAACAACUUUAUCACCCAAUCUUGUUUUAUUCAUAUGUAACAUUAUUUUAUAUUGAACCCUGUUUUUAUUGCAACAAACCGAAAGAAAAUAAUUUUAUUUUAGUCCCUUUUGUUUCAAAGUUUUGUUGCGUCAAUAAGCAACGGUGAUGACAGGACAGCUGUCCAAUUUUCUUUUAACUCUAAAAUGGUGAAAGGGUGCAACACAUUGGCAGACUCACCCAUUGGUAGAGAAAUUAAAUUUGAACAACGAACAAUUUUUUGAAUUGACUUCUUUUUCUAUAGCAAAAAAUAAUAAAUAGAAAAAGAGAGUAAGAAUACAAUGAAAACAUGAAAGUUGUUUAAAAAAUUGCUGGGACGAUUUAACUAUUUUAGAAUACGAAUAACACAUGAAUUCACAAGGAUGGUUUAACUAACGAGCAAUGAUAUUUGAACAACUAUUUGGUACCACCUUUAUGACAAAUUUUUUUCUCUCUUCUUAUUGGUCAAAAAUAAUGAAGAGGGAAAAGGGAAGAGAGAGAAUAAGAAGAUAAUGUGAGUAUGAGAGAUAAAGUUGUAUAAAAAUGAUUGUACGAAUAUCAUUUCUCUUAACUAUAUAAACCUAUUAUUAAACACUCUUAAAUUGUAAGUUUCAACUACUCAAAAUAAGUUUUAGAUAUAGAUAAAAUAAUUGUUUUUACACAUUCAAGGAUAAAAUUACUUUAUAGAAAAAUACCUAGUUAAAAUUAGUAUUAAAUUAAGGGUUAAUGGUGCUUUACCCCCUGUAAUAUAGGUCAUUUUUUAUUUUCCCCCUGUCAAAUAUUUUUUUUGAUUUACCCUCUUGUAAAAUAUAUUUUUUUUGGAAUACCCCCUAAUAUUUUUUUUUUUGAAUACCCCUAAUAAGUCAUUAAAAAUAUUAAUACCAAUAGUUUCCAAAACCGAAAAUUCAAUAACAAAAACAUAUUGAUGUAAAUCAUAUAUUAUUUAUAUUCUUUAGAAUAGUCUAGAUACAUUAUAAUCAAACUGAUAUUUUUUUGUUUUUGUUUUUACACAUGAGUCGAAUCUGAUAGAUAUUUGUGGAACUAAUCUAGGUUUAAGUCAAUAGGGUUGUCCUCGACAGUCUUUGUUGGGACACAAAGGACAUAGCGUCACGCAAGGGUACUUUCGUCCAUCCAAUUCAAAGAGAGUGGUUUUUUGUUGGGAGAAGAGCAAUUUUCAACAAAUAAACCUAAAGUAAUCAUCUUCUUCAUCGCAACACAAGAAGCAUGUCAAUCCUUAGUCGAUUGAAACUCGCAGGUACUCGUUGUUUCUUCUACUCUCUCUCUCUCUCUCAUUAAAUUUCUUGAAUUUGUUAUUGCUUUGUUACAAUUCUGUUCUAAGAAAAUUCUAUUGCGCUUCUUAAUUUAGCCUCACACAGAAAUAAUAUAUAUGUUUAGUCUUGGCAAGGGACCAAAUACUAACGUAUAGUUAUCAUAUAUAUUGCGUGCUUGCAGCAACAAUGAAGAGCUGUGAAAAGCUUGAGAAUGAGUUGUCUGAUCAUAUUAUAUCUUAUAUCUUUUCCAAGUUAGCUUUGAAAGAUUUGGUGAAAACCAGUGCAUUGUCCAAACAAUGGAUUCACGAAUGGGGAUUAAGGAUGGACCUUAACUUCGAUCUCUAUACCAUGUCCGACUAUAACACAGAUCAAGACUUGUCACAAAUCCUUCCUCUCUCUCUCAAAGGUUUCACUUUCAAUCUGAAUUUUCCACAAGAUUGGAUCAAUUUAUGCUGCAUUAUAAAGGUGCCAUCAUCCGUUCCAUUCGAGUAAAAUUUCCAUUAUGUAAUCAACAUAGGGAUGUCAUUCAUAGAUUGAUCUCCAAAGGAAUUGCUAAGGGUGCCAAACAUAUUGAACUUCUCUUCUCUUCUGAAACAACUGAUACUACUAUUUCUAUUAUGCCAUACAGAUUUUCCCUUAUUCUCUUACUUGAGAAUGAUUCUGUGACCUAUUUGCACCUACAAAACUGCCUCAUAGACAAACCCAGAUACUUCUCUGGAUUAAAAAAUUUGAGAACUCUUGUGUUGCAACAAGUUUUUGUGAAGAAGACACUCCUUAAGACUUUGUGUUCAAAUUGCAACCACCUUGUUGACCUCACCCUUGAUGGUUGUAAAAUCACUUCCAAGUUGGUAAUAAACAGCCCAUCAUUGCUUCGUUUGAACAUUGCUAAUGUUGGGUUUUACCCUCGAAAUCUUAUUACUAUCAUUGCCUCAAGUCUCUCAUCCUUUGAGUAUUCUUGUCUUAAAGAACAUGUAGUACACCAAAUGAACAUUCAAGCUCCUAUGUUAUCCAAGUUUAGCUUUAGAGGUGCUUUGUUUUCAAAGCGUAUACGGUUAUCUGGAUUGACGAACGUAACAAUAAUUAAGUUUGAUGCAUUACUAAUUGAUCUAUCCACAAACAUCUUGCCUCAUUUGUUUUCUAAAUGUCCUCAACUUGAAGCUGUCACUCUUAAGAACUGCUUGUUCACAAGUUCAACACAAAUUACCAGUUCGAAGUUACGUCAUUUGAUCAUACUUGAUAGUGUUUGGGUGGAUGACUCUCCUUCUGAUAUAUCUAUUGAUGCAUUAAAUCUUUCAUCCUUUGAAUAUACUGGGUACACCACAAGGAUAAUUUCUUUUACGGCUCCAAGGUUAUCGAAGGUUUUCUGGGAUACAUCAGAGAGAGAGAAUAGACCACACCUUUUUGAUCCAAUUGCAAGUUUACCACAUAUUGAGAAUUUAGCUAUGAUCAUCGGCACUUUACAAGUGAGUCGCUCAAUGAUAUUCCAACACUAUAGUACAUUCCAACAGUGUCUAGGUUUCUUUCCAUUACGUUUUUCACUAGCUGCUUUUAAUUCACUUAAGUAUCAUUGUUGUAAACAGGUAAAGGAAUUAGCGAAAGUCUUGGUUCGGUUUCAAAAUCUUUGACAAUUGGACUUACAUAUUGAUGGAGCAUGUGAUCCUAUUAUGGACUACUUUUGGCUUUUGGAUAUUGCAACGGCUUCUAGGCAUCUCCAAAAACUUACACUGAGUGUAAGUUAUUCAAACUUUUUUUUUUUUUCUUUUGUCUUGAAUGGAACUAGAAGUUUAUUUUAAAACUUAGCUGCAGUACGAUAGGUAUUGUUUUUGCUAUUUCCCAAUUGAAACUAGACACAUGUAAGAGUAGAUAAAUAAAGAUGAAUAAUUUUUGUUUUUCUUUUUAAAUAUUAACACUAACUUAAAACUCAUAUACUUUAAAAUAAACAAAUUUCUCCGAAUGUUUUUUCAUAAUAGUAAAUUAGAUUUAUUUAACCAAAAAUCCCAAAUCAAUUAUCAAACCUUUAAUUGAUAUUGAAAAUGGGUGAGAGACCGAAACUCAUACAAUUGAAUUUGAGAGACCAAAAAGUUGGAUUUUAAAAUAGGGGACCAAAACUUCAUUUUUCCUAAAACAAGUCAAUCAAAAGUGCAUUUAAGUCAAAAACCACUAUCAAACAACUCUAUUUUAGUCUUGUGUGUUUGUAUGAAAGUUAUACUCUAUCGGUUUAUAAAUACACGUCGUAGUCAAUCACUUCACAUAUGCUAAUACACAACUUUGAUAAUCAAUAUCUUUAGUUAUCUAUGAUAAAAAAAAAUUAUAACAGUUAGAUAUGUUAUAAAUAUUCAUUGAGACAAGUUGAACAAAAUCUUAUAUACUAACAUUAGUGUUUAUAUAUUAGGUAAAAAUAUAUUACACAUUAUGAAUGUGAAUAAUACAUAUUACCAACGUCAAAAAAGAAAGAAAGAAUAGUACACAUUAUCAAAUUGUUACAUGUAUCUUAUAAGCUAAUAGUUUGACCUUGUCAAACAUAAUAAACAACAUCGUAUUUCAAUUAAAAUAAUGAAUAAGUUGUGGAUUAGUUUUAUAUGCUAAUGGAAUUUUAAAAUUCUCAUAAAUGUAUCGUUAUUUUCAAUUUUCAGAUUAAAAAUCUUCAUCCGGAACAUUCACAUAUGGUUGGAUUUAAAAGGCAGAAAAGCGAAUAUGAGGGGUUUUCUCAUAAUGUUUUGAAAUAUGUGGAGUUUCUCGGCUGUGUUUGCUCCAUAAAUGUUUUUGAGUUAGCUACUCACCUAUUGAAGAGUGCAAAUUCGCUUAAGAAAAUGACUUUCCAUUCUAGUGACAGAGUCUAUCUUGGAGGUGGUAGAUGGACAACUUAUUUUAAUGCAUGUGGUGGUGAUUGUUGGUUAGGAAAGAAUGUUAUUCACGAGAUGUUUAAGGAUUGUUAUCAUGGUUUUUGGGUGCCAAGCCAUUAAUUAGACUUGUACCUUUCGACCGUUGAUAUCUCUAUUUUUUCUUGGGAAGGGCAAAAUUGAGAAAAAACCCUUAGAUUCUAAGUUCGGGGGCCGGUUUUACUACGGGAAGGUGUUAGGCACCCGGAGUAACUAUAGUCCUCUAUAGGAGCCGUUUUCCUAAGUCUAUAUUCACGCUUAUUUUUACUUACUUUUGAAAAUGGGAGGUUUAUUUAGUUAAGAAUGGGGGGGAGAGAUUGUAAGACUUUGAUUUUAUUUCGGCUUGGAUGAGUUUUGACUCAUUGCCUACGUACCGUUUUACAGGAUCAAAACCGGCGUAGUUCUUGCUAAAAAGACUUGUUUUUCUUUUGUUUUAAUUGUUUGAUUUUAAGUUUUGAAAAAAAGGUUUUGAAGAAGGAGAUUGGGAGGCUUCAUGAGCAUUAGAUUUUAGCAAAAGGUGAAGUUUGAUUAGUGAUUAGAAAAAAAGUCUAAAUGAUUAAGAUGAAUUGAAUUUUCCUUUAGAGAAAAAAAAAAAGAAAGGAAAAAAAAAAAUGAAGUGUUGACUUCAUACUUAUUAUGAAAAUUUUUGAAGUGAAGUUCAAUUGUUUUUUUUGGAAAAAAGAUGGAUUUUCUCUAAGUGUUUAAAACCUAAACGCUUAUUUAACCAUACAAUCCUAUGCAUACAUCUAAGGUGAGUGUGUGCGUGUCGGUGCAUCAUAGUGUCCAUAGUCCAUAUUACAAAAAUUGCCUAAAUACAUUCUAUGGCCCCUUUGCCAAGCUACAAACCAAUGAUAACAAAUUACAUUACCAAAUGAAUUAAAACUUGCAAAAGAUAAAGGCUAGGCUAAAGAAAGUGGAGGGAAUGCUAAAUGGGAUGCAUGAAACAUGGAAAUAAACUUGUUAGUGAAAAGAAAAAACAUAACAAGUACUAAGAAAUAAAAGCAUGCAAGAUGGCACAAAAAGUUAACAAAAUGACAUUAAACCCUAAAAACUUAGGUAUGAAACCUAAAGCAUUCUUGGCCUCUAAUUCUCAUGCUUUAACAAAUUUUGAAAGAGUUUUCUUUAUCUCAAGUUAUAGCAUAGAAUUAUUGGAAACAUGCAAACAUGGUUUCAUGCCACAUUUUCUAGAAUAAACUUGGCAUUUUAUAUCUUUCAAAAUAUGCAUAUAUUGUUCAUAAAAUCAAGCACUCAUGAACCAAAUCAAAACAGCAAAUCAACAUGAAAUUAUUGGCACAAAUCUCUCAUAUUAACACGUCAAGUAGCUUUUAUUUCAUAUUCUCACAUCAAGGACAAAUGUGUGAAGAAGAAUCCAUAACAAAUAAUUCAAAGAGAAUUAAAAUGCUAUGAAUUAAUUAUACAAAAAUUUCAUAGAUCCUUAAUGUUCAAAAAUGUCAUAAAAACACUAAGAAAAUAUCAAGAAACAUGUGAUAAUUUUUUGGAGGUUUUUUGGAGAAAAUUUUAAGCAUGCAGGGGUUCAAACAGCAAAGAAAUAUGGUGCAAAUAGCAGGAAAACAAACAAAAACGUAAAAGAACAAAGCCCAAACCAAAGGCCCAAUACACUAGAAGAUCCGGUUGCACAGGAACCAUACGAUUGAUCCAGGAUUCUGAAACCCUAGAUCAGACGGCCAGGAAUCAAAGGGGGAAUGGACCGGACUGGACCGGUCCGGUUCGCUGGCUUAUAAAAAGGAAGGAGCUCCGGUUUAUUUCAUUUUGCUGCUCUCAUUCUCUCUCUAACUCUUCUCUCUUCUCUCAUCUCUCAUCUCUCACUAACUUCGCCGCCGGCGAGGAUGAAGCUACGGCGGAGACCUUGAAGGUCCGCCGGAAACUUCAUCUUCUCCGGCGAGUUCAUGCAGUUUCCGGUGACCUAAAUUUCCAGAUUUCAAAGAUUCUUACUCCAUUUGAUUCGUCCUUUAACCCUAAACACGAAUCCAGCAGUUGUUUUUUCAAAUUCAAGUCGAAACGAUGUAGAUCUGGAAAUUUGCCGUACGGCUUUGAAUUUGAUUUUGAUUUUUUGAAAGAUAACGUUUAGAUCCUUGAAGAUCUACAUCAUUUCGUUGUUUAACACCUCUUUGAUGUUUGUUCUUGCUUUCAAAACUUAGAUCCUUAUGGAUCUAGGUUUUGUGUUUACGGUUACGGUUUUGGCUUUGAAUUCUGGAAAUUUGGAUCUGUUUUGCUUGCGUGAUUUUUAGGUUUAACAGUGAUAUUGCUUUUGAAAAAGAUUAUGAGUUUUACCUAAGGUUUUGGUUGAAACCUUUAAUGGAGAAAUUCUUUGGAAAACUUCAAUCUCUGAUGCUACGUGAUUUGGCUUUGAAUCCGGAAAUAAACCGGUGUUCCUGCUGGUUUCUUGCUUUAUCGUCUUCUUCGCCGGUUUAAACCUUCAUUAUCUUUCUUUCUUCUUCGUCUUCCUCACUGUAUCUUCGUGAUCGGUGCUGGAGUUUGCCUUUGGCGAAUUCGCACCUUGAAUUGCGAAGAUACUGAUUCAAUGAUGAUGAUUCUUCAAAGAAUCACUGAGAAUCCAUGAAAAAUAGCUUGAAUUUGUGUAGUUUCUGUUUCUGGAAAAGGUUAGGUUUACGCCAUUGAUGAAUGUUGAAGCUUUUUCUGUUUUGAUUUGUAACUGACAAGAGAGAGUGUGACUCUGUGUUUAUGAGUUGGCACCUGAUGAAUGGCUUUGAGUGGCACUGUGCACCUUUUAUAGCAUGACAUGUGUGCCUCUGAACAAAUGAGAAAGUGACACCUGGACCUGGAAAAAAAAAUGACACGGCCUUGGACAAAAAAUCAAAUUUGGACCUUCUUGCAAAAAACAAAACUUAAGGACUAAACUGCAAUUGACCAAAAAAGGACUAAAAUGAAAAUUGGAAGAGAAACUGGACUGAAAUGUAAUUUUGGGACCUCAAUUGAGGGACCAAAAUGUAAUAAAAAAUAAAAUUGAAUAAAACGUAAUUUGACCAAACGUAAAGCGAAACAAAAAUAAAAUUGACAAAACGGACUAAAACGAACCAAUGGCCUAAAUGAGGUACUUCAAAGUAACCUCCCCAUGCCAAAAUUUUAUGCGAAAUGACCAAAAUGCCCCUAGGGCUAAAAAUGACCUAAACAGAGCCAAAAUGACUCGACACUGACUCAGAUGCAAGUUUGAAAUGAAAUUAGCAAGGUUUACUGAUGGAAAGUUAAAAAUGAAUUUGAAAAGACCCAGAGACAGUCACAAGGAUGAAAAUGGGUCCCACUGCAGGAAAUGACCAAAAUACCCUUCUGUAUGACUUUUUUUGCAAAUUUUGAAAUAAACUGUAGAAAAAGCAAUGUAAUGAUUCAGAGACACUUUUGAAUGACUUACAAGACAAGUAAAGACAUUUCGAAAGGUUUUAUGCAAGAAAAACAUAGGUAAAAUUGUGAUUGAAAAUACUGCGAGGCAGAGACAAUUUGAACUGUGCAGUUGAAAUUUGAUAAUUGACAAAGUUUGAAAAUGAAAUUGGGCCCAGUAUUUUUAGGUCCAAAAACAGGGUAUAACAGCUGCCCCUAUUUAAGUUUCUUUGUCUGGAGAGUCAAGAGACGGAGUCUUUGGCUUGACAGGACGAAGACACUUAAAUAUUAGCAUUUGCACUGUGUUUGGACGUAAAAAUACGCCUACCCAUUUUCAAAUAAUAUGCAUGCCAUGCAUCAUUUGGAUUAUGAAUGCAAGACCUCAUGGGGAUUGGAAUUAACAAAAUAUGUCGUAUCCAUUGCGGGAUUGGUAGACAUUGACAAAGAUAGUGAAUAGCAGAGUAACGGGAAACUAGAAACAAGUUGGACAGGUACAAGCUGUUCUUGGAUUCAAACUAGCCACUUGACCGGGGAUGAAACAAACAGACAACUGCGAGUUGUUCUUAUGGAUUCGAACUGGUCACUUCACAGGGGAUGGAGGUUACUGGACAAACAUGAGUUGUUCUUAUGGAUUCGAACUGAUAACUCACUUGGGGAUAUUGGAAAGUGCGAGUUGUUCUUAUGGAUUCGAACUGGUGACCCGACUGGGAAAAAGAGAAAAUUGGCAAGUACGAGUUGUUCUUAUGGAUUCGAACUGGUUACUCGACUGAAAGCAUGGCAAAUAGACAGGUGCGAGCUUGUUCUUGGAUGCGAACUGGUUACUCCACCGGACAGAAACAGAUAGACAGGUACAAGCUGCUCUUGGAUUGAGCUAGCCACUUGACCAAACGGAAACAUAUUGACAGGUACAAGCUGCUCUUGGACUGAGCUGGGCACUCGACCGAUAACAUAAGCAAAUUGAUAGGUACAAGCUGUUCUUGGACUUGAACUAGCCACUUGACCAAACAGAAACAUAUUCACUGGGGAUUGGUUUUGUUCUGACAAAAUAUAGAUUGAGAUUGACUUGACGUCGAUUUGAUUUGAAAGGUAGAAAUUGACCGAUAUUAUUGGCUCACAAGGUUUUGACAGAGAACCUGACAUGAGUUUUGAAUUGAGACUGAUGUUGACAUUGAAAAUGCAAUAUGCACGGAUGAUAUAACGAUUUCAUUAAAUGCAUGAGCACGUAAUAUGCAUGAUUAUGCAUGUAUGAAUGCUUGUAAUGCAUGACUGUUGGCAUUUUGUAGGCACGACUUCACGGGGAAGACGAGACAUCAGAGUAUUGGGCACGUAGUGGCUCGUGCUAUGUUACACCUUCUUGGAAAUCCUCUUUGGAGAUGACGUCGUUUGGGAGACGUAUCGGAACCAUGGCUGAGGGCAGGUAGCUAUGCAACUUGCUGGGGAUAGAAUCUCGAGAGACUUUACUGGGGAUAAUGCCGUUGUGAUAGGCAUGUUGUGGACAUCGCAUCUGUGGUCAAUGCUUUUUGCAUGUUAUAUUCUCAAUUCUCAUUCAUCAUUUUUUGCAUCCCAUUUUUGCCUGGAUCGCCCUUUCGGGUUUUCGAUCCACCGGGGAAAUAAAUUCUUUUCAAUGCCCCAUUUUUGCCUGAACUGCCCUUUCGGGUUGUCAAUCCAGCGGGGUGCUCAUUUUUGCCUAAGCCGCCCUUCCGGGUUUUCAACUUAGCGAGCCUUUUCAUUUUCAUGCAUUUGCAUUCUGUUUUUUUUCAUUUUUGCCAUUGACCACAGAUUAUCUUGGAGGAGAACCUGCUUGUAACAUAUAUGGAAAUAGACAUUAACAUACUCUCGCUCAUGCAUGUUUCAUUUGAAUGUACCCUGUUGCUCAGGUUUGCUUUUCAAAACAGACAAAAAGUUUUCAAUUUUCAAAAUGUUUGUUUCAAGCAUUGUCAUUAUCAAAAUAGAAAGAAAAUGUUUUGUAUAUAGCUUUGAAAGUAAAAAGAAAGCAGAGUUUCAAACAAAAGCACAAGCUCAAAUUGAUGUAUAAGAGUGGUGGUCAGCCGAAGGCGUGACUCCACGGAUUCACAAAGCUUGGAAAAUGGUAAUUUUAUUGGUUGGUGGUACAUUGAACACAGUAAUCACUACAUUUCUUAGAAACUUUGAAUCCACAAGUGCAGAAGCUUUUGAUGAAGACGGUCAUUAACAGCUGCAGAUGUCCCAAGGGGGACGGUGGUUGGCCAGAUAUAGUUACUUGCCUUUUGUUUCAAUCUCAUUUUUGCAUGAACCGCCCUUCCGGGUUUUCGGCUCAUCGAGACACUCAUUCUUGCCUGAGUUGUGUACAAUCUCAGCGAGCUUUUCAUAUUUGUUUUUUUUGUCCCUUAUUUUUGCCUGGACCGCCCUUUCGGGUUCUCGAUCCACCGGGAAGCGCAUUUUUGCCUAGGCCGCCCUUUCGGGUUUUCGACCUACCACGCUGUUCUUUUCAUAUUUCUAGGCAAAGUAUUUCUUGACUAUAUCGGCAUUCACUGGAUUUGGAAGCUCUACACCAUCCAUGUGUGUAAGGAUUAAAGCACCACCGGAGAAGGCCUUCUUGACAACAUAAGGACCUUCAUAGUUAGGCGUCCACUUGCCCCUUGGGUCGGGUUGCUGGCUUAUCCUCCCUUUCAAUACAAGUUCCCCUACCUUGAAUUCUCGCGGAUGGACUUUCUUGUCAAAGGCAGUCUUCAUUCUUGCUUGAUAUGACUGUCCACGAGCCAUGGCAUCCAUACGUUUUUCCUCAAUCAAAUUUAACUGAUCAUACCGGUUUUGGCACCAUUCAGCCUCAGAUAACUUUGCUUCCAUAAUCACACGGAGAGAUGGGAUCUCCACUUCCAAAGGAAGAACUGCUUCCAUACCAUAUACAAGAGAGAAAGGGGUUGCCCCGGUUGAACUGCGCACAGUAGUACGGUAGCCAUGCAGAGCAUAGGGUAACAUCUCAUGCCAGUCCUUGUAAGUGGUUACCAUCUUCUGGAUGAUUCUCUUGAUAUUCUUAUUGGCGGCCUCAACUGCACCAUUCAUCUGAGGUCUAUAAGGAGAAGAGUUAUGAUGCUCAAUUUUGAAUUCUUCACAAAGAGCUUGCACCACAUUGUUGUUCAGGUUGGUACCAUUGUCGGUAAUAAUCUUGCUGGGAACACCAUAUCGACAGAUGAUGUUGUUCUUGAUGAACUUAGCUACCACUUGCUUGGUCACAUUAGUAUAAGAUGCUGCUUCAACCCACUUGGUGAAGUAGUCAAUUGCCACUAAGAUGAAACGAUGACCAUUUGAAGCCUUCGGUUCAAUCCUUCCAAUCAUAUCGAUGCCCCACAUUGAGAACGGCCACGGGGAUGACAUAACAUUGAGAGCGUGCGGAGGCACAUGAAUCUUAUUAGCAUAGAUUUGACAUUUGUGACAUUUUCUGGCGUAUUGGUAGCAAUCAUGCUCCAUGGCCAUCCAGUAGUAACCUGCCCGUAGCAACUUUCUUGACAUAGUAUGCCCUGUAGCAUGGGUCCCGAAGGUACCGUCAUGUACAUCAUGCAUUAACUGCUCCGCCUCAUGUUCAUCAACACAUCUUAACAAUACCAUGUCAUAGUUCCUCUUGUACAAAAUAUCUCCAUCUAACAGGAAUCUACCGGCCAAUCUUCUCAAGGUCUUCUUGUCUUGUUUGGAAGCACUCGGCGGAUACUCACGGCUCAGCAAGAACUGUUUGAUGUCGUAGUACCAAGGUCUAUAGUCAACCACAUUUUCACCAGCUUGAUCGAUCACAUCCCCAAUAGCAAACACAUGUGAAGGUCUUUCAAGGCGUUGCACUUUGAUUAAUGGCACAUCAUUCCAAUGGUUUACUCGGAACAUGGAAGAUAGAGUAGCAAGAGCAUCAGCCAUUUGGUUCUCAUCACGAGGAAUAUGAUGCAGCUCAACCUUUGUAAAAUAUGUCAGAAGACGUCUCGCAUAAUCACGAUAAGGAAUCAACUUAGCAUGGUGGGUCUCCCAUUCACCCUUUAUCUGAUUGAUGACGAGCGCAGAAUCUCCAUAGAUGUCGAGGUGUUUGAUUCUCAUGUCAAUUGCUUCCUCGAUCCCGAAGAUACAUGCUUCAUACUCAGCCAUAUUGUUUGUACAUUCGAACAGAAUACGGGCGGUAAAAGGAAUAUGAUGCCCUUGCGGGGAUACAAUGACUGCCCCAAUUCCUUUGCCAUAAGCAUUGACAGCACCAUCAAAGACUAAACCCCACUUGCUAUUGGGAUCUGGACCUUCAUUAAUCAACGGUUCGUCGCAGUCUUUGGAUUUCAAAUACAUGAUCUCUUCAUCAGGGAAAUCGAAUUCAAUUGGUUGGUAAUCAUCAAGAGGUUGAUAAGCAAGGUGAUCGGCAAGAAUGCUGCCUUUGAUUGCCUUUUGAGUUUUGAACACAAUAUCAUAUUCAGACAAAAGCAUCUGCCAGCGUGCGAUCUUCCCAGUAACGGCCGCUUUCUCAAAGAUAUACUUUAUCGGAUCCAUUCUGGAUAUCAACCAAGUUGUAUGAUUCACCAAAUAAUGGCGCAGGCGUUUGGCAGCCCAAGCUAGAGCACAACAAGUCUUUUCAAGCAUUGUAUAUCGAGUUUCACAAUCGGUGAACUUCUUGCUUAGAUAGUAGAUAGCAUGCUCUUUCUUUCCGGUUUCAUCUUGUUGACCAAGUACACAUCCCAUGGAUUCAUCAAAUACUGCCAAAUACAUAAUCAAAGGCCUUCCUUCCACGGGUGGGACAAGGAUAGGUGGUUCCAGCAGGUAAUUCUUGAUGCUAUCAAAAGCUUCUUGGCAUUCAUCAUUCCAUACAACAGGCUGGUUCUUUCUAAGUAGCUUGAAGAUCGGCCCGCAGGUUGCAGUCAUGUGAGAUAUGAAUCGGGAGAUGUAAUUCAAACGUCCCAAGAAACCUCUGACUUGCUUCUCUGUCUGUGGAGCUGGCAUUUCUCGGAUGGCCCGGACUUUAUCAGGAUCGACUUCAAUGCCCUUUUGGCUGACAAUGAAGCCUAAUAACUUUCCGGACCUGACACCGAAUGUACAUUUGUUGGGAUUCAAUCGCAGCUUGUAUUUUCUCAACCUUUCAAACAUCUUUGUUAGAUAUUCAACAUGCUGCUCCUCAUCUGCUGACUUCACAAUCAUGUCAUCCACAUAUACCUCAACUUCUUUGUGAAUCAUGUCAUGAAACAGAGUGGUCAUUCCCCUUUGGUAGGUAGCACCAGCAUUGAUUAGGCCGAACGGCAUCACUUUGUAACAGAAAGUACCCCAUGGAGUGAUAAAAGAUGUCUUUUCUCUAUCUUCAGGAGACAUUUUGAUCUGAUUAUAACCGGAAAAACCGUCCAUGAAGGAGAACACCUUAGAUUGAGCAGUAUUAUCAACAAGCACGUCAAUAUGGGGUAACGGAAAGUUGUCUUUUGGACUGGCUUUGUUCAAGUCCCUGAAAUCAACACACAUCCGGACUUUACCAUCCUUCUUCGGCACAGGCACAAUAUUGGCAACCCAUUCGGGGUACUCAACUGUCAUGAGGAAACCCGCAUCAAUCUGCUUUUGAACUUCAUUCUUAAUCUUGAGGGCCAUAUCAGGAUGAGUCCUCCUCAAUUUCUGCCUGACGGGAGGACAUUCAGGCUUGGUAGGGAUCCGAUGCUCCACGAUCAUAGGGUCUAGACCUGGCAUAUCUUCAUAGGACCAUGCAAAAAUAUCCGGAUAUUCCCGGAGGAGUUGGAUGAUCUUCUGUUUAACCCCUUCCUCUAGAGUAGCACCAAUCUUGAUUUCUCGCUUGUUUUCUUCGGUACCUAUGUUGAUAAGCUCAAUCUCUUCUUGGUGAGGCUGAAUGGCUUUCUUUUCUUGCUCAAGUAACCGAGUGAUCUCAUACGGUAUGUCAUCACCUUCCUCAUCUUCGGCUUCAUAUACAGGGAAAUCAAAACUUGGAGGAACCGUAGGAUUACUGUGUUCAACGGGUUUAUUAUGGUUCAACCUGCAUAUAAUGAUUGGAUGAUUUUAGAAAUAGUUUUUUUUUCAUGCAGAUUUUUGAAAUUAAUAAGAAAAUACAGACGUUUUGGUUUUUUCUGGCAUUACCAUUGUUUCCAAGGGAAAAAGCACUUAAAAAAAGUAGUCGUGGAAGAAACGACAAAAUUUUAUUAAUCAACGGCAAUGCCGAAACAAACAUGCCCUUACAGAAAAUAUCACUCUCGCUUUGGGCAGAGCGAGAGGAUUGUUAUUUUGAAAACAAAGCACUAAAGCAACAAGACACAUUACUCAGAAACAUGCAUGAUUGAAGGAAUGUCAAUGGCAUCCCAAUUCGUCGCAAUGCCUCCUGGUGUAACAAAUAUAGGCCUGAGACCAGAUCCAGUGGCUUCUUCAGAGAUAGCAUUAACAAACCCUGCACUGUGGAAGACUCCCGAGGAAACCCUUGAUGACGGGGAGAACCCGAGACCUUCCUUUCGCUUGUUCUCACAGAGCUGUAUCAUCUUGCCCCAGCCGGCAGUCUGACCUUCUUGGAUGGCUCUCUGAGCAUCCUUCAAUGAAGCCAUAGCAGCCCCAGCUUCCUUAGACUCUGCACCUUCAAUGGUCAAACCUUGGAAAGCAGUCCCUUCAGCAGAUCCUGCUUCAAUACAAGAGAAGGAAGACAACUGGCUGACUAAGUAUGCUUCUUCACCAUGGAUUGUAACGAGUUUUCCAUUCUUCACAAAUUUCAACUUCUGAUGUAAGGUGGAAGUAACCGCACCUGCAUCGUGUAUCCACGGUCUUCCCAGCAGGCAACUGUAGGAUGCAUUAAUGUCCAUCACUUGGAAGGUAACCAAGAAAUUCUCAGGGCCAAUGGUUAUCGGCAAGUCUAUCUCCCCCAGCACGUUCUUUCGAGAUCCGUCAAAAGCUUUGACCAAGAAAGUACUUCUUCUCAAAGGGGUCCCACGGUAGCUCAACUGAUCUAGAGUUGUCUUGGGCAUUACAUUGAGAGAGGAACCGGUAUCCACCAACACAUUUGAUAUCAUGUCUGAUUUACAAUUCACCGAGAUGUGCAAAGCCAGAUUGUGACCCUUUCCCGCUUCCGGCAACUCUUCUUCACUAAACCAGAGGUUGUUACAAGCAGUAAUAUUUCCCACUAUGCCACCGAAACGAUCUACCGUAACUUCGUGGUCAACAUAUGCCUGCUCCAGCACUUUCAACAAGGUAUUCCUGUGAGCCUCAGAGCUCAAGAGUAAUGACAAGACAGAUAUCUUUGAAGGAGUCUGCAGCAACUGAUCAACGAUCUUGUAGUCGCUCCUCUUUAUUAUUCUCAGAAUCUCAUCUAAAUUUGAAUCCUCUAUAGAUUUGCCUGGCUGAUUCACAUCUGUAGCAAUGGGUGAAACAACGGUUGGAGUUGCUUCUUCAACUGGUGGAGUGAUUGGCGUAGCUACCUUCUUCUGAAAUAAUGGCGGACGAACCUUCCCGCUUCUUAGCGCUGCAGAAGUCCCUUCGGCAAUAUUGCUUACUGUGGCAAAGGAGGCUAGAGGUACCUCUACUCCAUUUUCUAUUAUAGUAGCAUUGUACUUAUAUGGCACUGCCUUGUCCGAAGCAUAAGGAAUUGGUCCUGGCAACCUUAUUACCAAAGGCUCAGCAUUCUUCUUCAAAGGUACACUCUUGACAGGCGGAUCGUGAAAAACUGGCACGACCACGCAAACAUCACUGACAGUCAGAAGAUUAUCGUUCAUCGAACUUUGGAUGUCGUCUUGAACAGCAUGGCAACCCAAAGGAUCACGGAGGCAUCCUAGACACUUGGCAUGAUCAUGGCUGAACAGAGAAGCUUUGCACAGCUUGAUAUGUAGAGGCACCAGAGGAGUGACAACAUUGCGGACAUCAAGUCUAGGAGCUUCCUCACACACUUCGAUCAUAUUCACAGCGGCAUGAUUUGGUAGCGGAUUGUCAAGGACAUGUGGAACAUUAUUCUCAAAAGUCAGCUUUCCCUGAUCAAUGAGCUUCUUCACGAUAUACUUCAAAGCAUAACACCCCUCGACAUCAUGACCUAAGGCACCUUGAUGAAAGUCACAUUUGAGAUCAGACCUGAACCUUGGAGGCAACGGAUCAGGUGGUGGCUUGCCCUGUCUAGUCGUACAAUGACCUCUCUGGAGUAAAGUCGGAAGAAGUUCUGCAUACAACAUCGGUAUAGGAGGAAAAGUUGGUCUAGUAUACUGCUGCUGCUGCUGUUGUUGUUGUUGUUGAACCGGCAACUGUUGUUUUAUCUGUUGGGCAAUUGCAUUGACGGGCACUUGAGGCUGGCCCGGUGGCAAAGGGUACUGAUGAUAAAACGGUGGGAAGAACGAAUGCUGAGAAUACGGCAUAUAUGGGUAUGACGGAGGCAUUUGAGCUGUAUUGAUAGGAGCAACGGUAGCUAUAGAUUGACCGGCUCCAGCUGACACCAUCCCCACUUCCGUUUCUUUCUUCUUGUGGUGUCCAUUACCAUAUCUCUUCGAUGCACCCACAGAGGAUUCAGCUUUCUCAAACACAAUGAUUCCAUCCCUGACUGCUUCCUCAAGACGGGUUCCCAUAGUGACCAUCUCCGAAAAGUUGUUCGGGGCAGCGAUGAUCAUCCUCUCAACAUAAUCUUUCUUCAAGGUCUUUAAGAAUGUCUGGGUCAUUUCUUCUUCAUCUAAAGCAGGAGUAAUACGGGCAGCUGCCCCUCUCCACCUUUGCGCAUAUUCACGGAAACUUUCCUCCUUUUUCUGAGAUAGGGACCUGAGAAACUCCCUAUUCGGCUUCAAUCGAGUGUUAAACCCGUAGUGGCUCCUGAAAGCGGUGGCCAGCUCAUCAAAAGUAUGGACAUCGUCUUUGCUCAGACUAGUAUACCACUCUGCAGCAUCCUCCAUCAGACUGUCUUGGAAGUAAUGGAUCAUAAGGGAAUCAUUGUCCUUGUAGUUGCCCAUUUUCCGGACGUAUUUGACAAUAUGAUUUUGAGGACAAGUCAGCCCGUUAUACUUGUCGAACUCCGGGACUUUGAACUUUUUUGGAACAUCUACCUUCGAUACUAAGCAGAGGUCCUGGGUUUUAAUGGAGUCUCCGUUUCCCCUGUUGGCCUUAAUUUCCCGUUGGAGCUCUUUGGCAAGUUCUUCCAUUCUCUCUUCCAUAGUUCCGGUUGUGGCAAUACUCCCGUGGUGCGCAUUAGCAUGGACAAAUAGAGGCACCGCAUUCACAAUGGGCUCGGUAACAGUUGUUGCAGCUUGAGUCAAGGCAGUACUAACAGGAGUUAAGUUUGCCCCUGGGAUUGGGCCAUUGUUGGUAGUACCAGAGGUCCCUGCCCCUGUAUUAGCAGUAUAGUACAGCGGAAGUCCGUAAGGAUACCCGGAUGGCAUGAUAGAGCGGGGAUCAGUUGUUACGGUAGGAGUCACAUUUGCAGCUGUAGAAACUACGGGAACUGGUUGUUCCUGAGCAGCCAACAGAGCAGUCAUAGCAUCAUGAGCUUUGGCCAAUUCCUCCCUUAAAGAUGCCAAUUCGGUACGGAGCUGUGUGUUCUCUUCUUCCAUAGCCCUUUUCUUUCUUCUGUAUUCUCUGGUUCGAUCAAUUCUAUCAGGUUCGUAAACUCUCUGAGCACGAGCCACUUUUCACACUAAGGCAGAGAAACCAGGAGGUGGUAAGCACUCGGAAGCCUUUGUGACCGAUGCAUGAUGCAUAUGAUGCAUGAUAUGCAAAUGCAAAUGCGAAAGACUUAUUUUUUUCAUCGAAGGAUUUUUAAACAAAUUGGAAAUUUUGCAAAUAAUCAAAACUACAUAGCAUUUUCAAAAGGAAGACUUUGAAAUUUCAACAAGAUAAACAAAUGAAGCCCUCAAGCAUAAGAAGUAGUCGGAAGAUCAUCGGACUCGGAAUCUGAAUCACAGUAUCUAUCAAAGAAGUCUCGUCGUCCUCGAGCUCUCUUGGAGUCCCUCAUAAGCAGCUCAUCUUUCUCUUCCAAUUCCUUCCGGGCCUUAGCUAACUCUUUCUUCAACAUUAGAUUCUCAUGAGUCUUCUGCUCAUCUCUACCAUCCAAAGUCAUGAUUAGAUUCUCGGCUUGAUUGUACCGAGCUUUCCACACUUGCUUCUCACGACUCUCCAUAGCUAGAUGCUCCUGAUACAUAUCCUAAGUCGCGGGGAGCAAAGGUAGAGGCAUAGACGGGGUAGACGAAGACACGUAUCUCAUAGCUGGAUAAGGCAUACCAAUCUCCUCAGCUCGAUCUAUCACCCACUGAGUAUAGGCCUCAUGAGCAACACCGGAUCUCACACCUAGAUGCUUCACACUCUUCCUUCGAACCUUGGACCAAGCAUCCAUGAAAGCUUUCCUUUGUCCAGUAGGAGCACUCGUGUAGAAGAAGAACUCUGGAGAUGUAGCAAGAUUGAUGGGCUUCGACUUCAUAGGGAAACCAAACUGUCUCAUAGCAAGCUCGGGAUUGUAGUUAAUUCCUCCCCGAGUACCAAGAAGAGGUACAUUGAGAAAGUCUCCACAACCCAUAAUGAUUUCCUUCACUUGAGCGGCAGGAGUGAGCCAGACGACCUCAUUAGGAGUGAGGGCCAUAAUCCGCUGAGAGUAGGACCAAUUUUCCGAGUUAUCAUGGAAGGAACUCGGAAGGUGCGAAAUAAACCACCUAUACAAAAGAGAUAUGCAGCAAAGAAUAUACCCACGGCCCUUGAGAGUCCUGUCAUGAAUGGCGUGGUAGGCAUCCGCUAGCAAAGUAGGAACCGGGUUCUUGGAAUGAAAGAUCUCGAUAGCAUUCAUGUCCACGAAGUUGUCGAGGUUUGGAAAGAGAAUGAGCCCGUAGAUAAGCAAAGCAAGAAUAGCCUCGAGUGUAUCCUGACGAGUAGUACUGAGAUUAGCCUGAUCAAGAAGAUACUUUGAAGUGAACCCCCGGAUGUGAGACUUGGUAAUAAGAUGGUUGGAGACGUCGGAAGUCUUGAGGUAGAGAUCCUUAGCAAUAACCAGAGGAGUAAGAGAAGUCCCGGGACCGGUGAAAGGCGUCUUCUCGGCUAUAGGUAAACCCACUAGAUUGGAGUAAGCCUCGAGAGUAGGAACCAACUGGAAGUCCGGGAAGGUGAAGCAACGGAAGCUUGGAUCAUAAAAUUGCACUAGAGUGUGCACUAGCUUCUCGUCCACAUCGGUUCGGAGCAAAGUAAGCAAUCCCCCAUACCGGAGUCGGAACCCUGUUUGACUCUUGACCUUGAGUGCCAACUCUCUUAAACUGACCAAAUCCACUUCCUUGAACUUGUAGCACUUAGUCUUCUUCAUACCUGUGAUUAUUUACAAAAUAUUCCAUUUGUUUAGGCCCUUCGAUGAAUGCAUGAAAAAUGUUUAUGCAUGAAUGCAUGUAUGCAUGAUUGUGUUGUUUAGUUACAAAGAACAAGAUGGGUUGAGAUUCAAAGUAACAGGGCUACGGCUGGACACGGCGUCCGGUGAACUAAGGCUUUGGAUAGUAGUAACCAAGGUUCUAACACAGUUCCCAAACUGCAACCUCUCUCACAUAUAUCAUGGUAGUACAGGACGACACCCGUUCCAUGAUUAUUUGUGAGAAGGUCUAGUUUGAGUGUAGUAUCGCGUGACGACUAAAGUUUGAGACAACACUCAAUUUAGCCACCGCACUACGUCCUAAAAAGGCUAGGAUGGGUUUGGUAACUACGGUUCAUAGCUUCGUCGAACAAUUGAAAGUGAAGUGCCUAAGCAUGACAACACACGCCGACAAUAUCACCUUCAAAAUGCCUCAGCUAUGUGAGAUUGAUCGCAUAAUCCAAUACACGAGGCAACCCCCGGAUCGAAUUGUCGAUUAUAUCUCUACCUAAACAUAAGUUCACUCAGCCCGGGUAUAGGACUUUUGAUAUUCUCACCCCCCCCGUCAAAUGAAAGUAAACAAGUAUUCACAUAUGUAAGCAAUAAAACAAAGCGUAAAUAAACUAAGGAAAACUAGGCGUGACCCGCUAAAAAAAUCCCCAGUGAAGUCGCCAUUUCUGUUAUCAUGGUUUUUGGGUGCCAAGCCAUUAAUUAGACUUGUACCUUUCGACCGUUGAUAUCUCUAUUUUUUCUUGGGAAGGGCAAAAUUGAGAAAAAACCCUUAGAUUCUAAGUUCGGGGGCCGGUUUUACUACGGGAAGGUGUUAGGCACCCGGAGUAACUAUAGUCCUCUAUAGGAGCCGUUUUCCUAAGUCUAUAUUCACGCUUAUUUUUACUUACUUUUGAAAAUGGGAGGUUUAUUUAGUUAAGAAUGGGGGGGAGAGAUUGUAAGACUUUGAUUUUAUUUCGGCUUGGAUGAGUUUUGACUCAUUGCCUACGUACCGUUUUACAGGAUCAAAACCGGCGUAGUUCUUGCUAAAAAGACUUGUUUUUCUUUUGUUUUAAUUGUUUGAUUUUAAGUUUUGAAAAAAAGGUUUUGAAGAAGGAGAUUGGGAGGCUUCAUGAGCAUUAGAUUUUAGCAAAAGGUGAAGUUUGAUUAGUGAUUAGAAAAAAAGUCUAAAUGAUUAAGAUGAAUUGAAUUUUCCUUAAGAGAAAAAAAAAAAGAAAGGAAAAAAAAAAAUGAAGUGUUGACUUCAUACUUAUUAUGAAAAUUUUUGAAGUGAAGUUCAAUUGUUUUUUUUGGAAAAAAGAUGGAUUUUCUCUAAGUGUUUAAAACCUAAACGCUUAUUUAACCAUACAAUCCUAUGCAUACAUCUAAGGUGAGUGUGUGCGUGUCGGUGCAUCAUAGUGUCCAUAGUCCAUAUUACAAAAAUUGCCUAAAUACAUUCUAUGGCCCCUUUGCCAAGCUACAAACCAAUGAUAACAAAUUACAUUACCAAAUGAAUUAAAACUUGCAAAAGAUAAAGGCUAGGCUAAAGAAAGUGGAGGGAAUGCUAAAUGGGAUGCAUGAAACAUGGAAAUAAACUUGUUAGUGAAAAGAAAAAACAUAACAAGUACUAAGAAAUAAAAGCAUGCAAGAUGGCACAAAAAGUUAACAAAAUGACAUUAAACCCUAAAAACUUAGGUAUGAAACCUAAAGCAUUCUUGGCCUCUAAUUCUCAUGCUUUAACAAAUUUUGAAAGAGUUUUCUUUAUCUCAAGUUAUAGCAUAGAAUUAUUGGAAACAUGCAAACAUGGUUUCAUGCCACAUUUUCUAGAAUAAACUUGGCAUUUUAUAUCUUUCAAAAUAUGCAUAUAUUGUUCAUAAAAUCAAGCACUCAUGAACCAAAUCAAAACAGCAAAUCAACAUGAAAUUAUUGGCACAAAUCUCUCAUAUUAACACGUCAAGUAGCUUUUAUUUCAUAUUCUCACAUCAAGGACAAAUGUGUGAAGAAGAAUCCAUAACAAAUAAUUCAAAGAGAAUUAAAAUGCUAUGAAUUAAUUAUACAAAAAUUUCAUAGAUCCUUAAUGUUCAAAAAUGUCAUAAAAACACUAAGAAAAUAUCAAGAAACAUGUGAUAAUUUUUUGGAGGUUUUUUGGAGAAAAUUUUAAGCAUGCAGGGGUUCAAACAGCAAAGAAAUAUGGUGCAAAUAGCAGGAAAACAAACAAAAACGUAAAAGAACAAAGCCCAAACCAAAGGCCCAAUACACUAGAAGAUCCGGUUGCACAGGAACCAUACGAUUGAUCCAGGAUUCUGAAACCCUAGAUCAGACGGCCAGGAAUCAAAGGGGGAAUGGACCGGACUGGACCGGUCCGGUUCGCUGGCUUAUAAAAAGGAAGGAGCUCCGGUUUAUUUCAUUUUGCUGCUCUCAUUCUCUCUCUAACUCUUCUCUCUUCUCUCAUCUCUCAUCUCUCACUAACUUCGCCGCCGGCGAGGAUGAAGCUACGGCGGAGACCUUGAAGGUCCGCCGGAAACUUCAUCUUCUCCGGCGAGUUCAUGCAGUUUCCGGUGACCUAAAUUUCCAGAUUUCAAAGAUUCUUACUCCAUUUGAUUCGUCCUUUAACCCUAAACACGAAUCCAGCAGUUGUUUUUUCAAAUUCAAGUCGAAACGAUGUAGAUCUGGAAAUUUGCCGUACGGCUUUGAAUUUGAUUUUGAUUUUUUGAAAGAUAACGUUUAGAUCCUUGAAGAUCUACAUCAUUUCGUUGUUUAACACCUCUUUGAUGUUUGUUCUUGCUUUCAAAACUUAGAUCCUUAUGGAUCUAGGUUUUGUGUUUACGGUUACGGUUUUGGCUUUGAAUUCUGGAAAUUUGGAUCUGUUUUGCUUGCGUGAUUUUUAGGUUUAACAGUGAUAUUGCUUUUGAAAAAGAUUAUGAGUUUUACCUAAGGUUUUGGUUGAAACCUUUAAUGGAGAAAUUCUUUGGAAAACUUCAAUCUCUGAUGCUACGUGAUUUGGCUUUGAAUCCGGAAAUAAACCGGUGUUCCUGCUGGUUUCUUGCUUUAUCGUCUUCUUCGCCGGUUUAAACCUUCAUUAUCUUUCUUUCUUCUUCGUCUUCCUCACUGUAUCUUCGUGAUCGGUGCUGGAGUUUGCCUUUGGCGAAUUCGCACCUUGAAUUGCGAAGAUACUGAUUCAAUGAUGAUGAUUCUUCAAAGAAUCACUGAGAAUCCAUGAAAAAUAGCUUGAAUUUGUGUAGUUUCUGUUUCUGGAAAAGGUUAGGUUUACGCCAUUGAUGAAUGUUGAAGCUUUUUCUGUUUUGAUUUGUAACUGACAAGAGAGAGUGUGACUCUGUGUUUAUGAGUUGGCACCUGAUGAAUGGCUUUGAGUGGCACUGUGCACCUUUUAUAGCAUGACAUGUGUGCCUCUGAACAAAUGAGAAAGUGACACCUGGACCUGGAAAAAAAAAUGACACGGCCUUGGACAAAAAAUCAAAUUUGGACCUUCUUGCAAAAAACAAAACUUAAGGACUAAACUGCAAUUGACCAAAAAAGGACUAAAAUGAAAAUUGGAAGAGAAACUGGACUGAAAUGUAAUUUUGGGACCUCAAUUGAGGGACCAAAAUGUAAUAAAAAAUAAAAUUGAAUAAAACGUAAUUUGACCAAACGUAAAGCGAAACAAAAAUAAAAUUGACAAAACGGACUAAAACGAACCAAUGGCCUAAAUGAGGUACUUCAAAGUAACCUCCCCAUGCCAAAAUUUUAUGCGAAAUGACCAAAAUGCCCCUAGGGCUAAAAAUGACCUAAACAGAGCCAAAAUGACUCGACACUGACUCAGAUGCAAGUUUGAAAUGAAAUUAGCAAGGUUUACUGAUGGAAAGUUAAAAAUGAAUUUGAAAAGACCCAGAGACAGUCACAAGGAUGAAAAUGGGUCCCACUGCAGGAAAUGACCAAAAUACCCUUCUGUAUGACUUUUUUUGCAAAUUUUGAAAUAAACUGUAGAAAAAGCAAUGUAAUGAUUCAGAGACACUUUUGAAUGACUUACAAGACAAGUAAAGACAUUUCGAAAGGUUUUAUGCAAGAAAAACAUAGGUAAAAUUGUGAUUGAAAAUACUGCGAGGCAGAGACAAUUUGAACUGUGCAGUUGAAAUUUGAUAAUUGACAAAGUUUAAAAAUGAAAUUGGGCCCAGUAUUUUUAGGUCCAAAAACAGGGUAUAACAAGGAUGAAGUAAAUGAACAAUGUCAGCUUAUAAUUCUGUAGUGUCAUUUUUUCUAUUUAUAAUGAGUUUUUACUACUAUUAUUAUUUGUAAUAAAUCUUUUCUAAAAAACUUUGUAUAAUUUACUUUAUUUAUGAAUUACAAUAUUUACUAUUUUUUGGGUGUUUUUAUUUUAUAUGAAGGAAUCAUUAGAAAUAGACAUGUAGUUAUUAUUUGGUUGUGGGUUUGUUUGGUCACUCAACUUUGUUCGCAUGAAUUUUGAUCUUAAUCUCGAUGCUAUCGAGUCACCUUUAAAAUGAGAAACCUAAUCAACAAUAUUUGUAGGUGGUUUUGUCAACGUUAUUUUACCAUGCAAUUUUUUUUUUCUCCUAUGAAGAAGACUCUAUUUACAUGUUUAUCUAAUCUCACUAAAACAAUAUUGAAGCCCAUUGCAUAAAAUAUUAACUUCUUUUUUCCAAUUCUCACUUGAUGGUUACAUGUGGCGUUAAGAUUGAUACGAUAAUUUUAUCUUGAAUCACAUUCAAACAGAUGGGUCUAAAGACCACGUUGUUUUCAAUUUUUUUGUUGCCAAGAAUACUAUUGAGGAGGUCAUUAUGAACACGGAAGCACCCUACUCCAUAAAUCUAAUGUAUGGCAUCCUUACGGUGGCUUCAUUCCUUCUAAGUGACUUCAUUCCUUCUAAUGAGUGGUGAGAUAUAGUAUAUUGUCAUAAUAAGAUCGAACAUAUGGAAGUGACUUUCAGAUUGUGACUUGGCUUGCACGUUACGCACAUUUAAACAGACAAAGAUGAAGACAUCUUCAAUCAUUUUUAUUGUAAAAAACUAUACACACAUACUCUUUAGAUAUUAUUUGAUCAUUUGUAUCGUGUUAUUCUAGUUGGAAUGAUUUAUAUAAUCGGUUAUAUGCCAGUGUUGGAUGCAUAUCAUGUUUGACACUAACAAAAUAUGUAUUUUGCGUAUUUUGCUAGUGAAUUGAUGAGUAAUUUUCUUUUUCAAAUGACGAGGUGAUGAUAUGGGGUGCUACGUGUAUGAGAAUAUGAGAUUCUACAAGUGGAUGGAUGUAUAUGACUUAUGACUUGUUUUACUUUUUGAAAAAGAAUAUGGAUUUUGAAUAAUUUAGAUUGUAUUGGGUAGUUUGCAUAUGGUAUUUGUGUAGUUUGGAUGUGUACACCAAAUUACUUGUUCUAGAAAAUGAGUGAAAUAUUACGUUUGAAUCUUAAUAAUAUACAAAUGUGAAGCUACAAAUAGGAAAAAAAUUUUGCCCCAAUCCAAUGUGUCAAAAUUCUAAGCCUCCUACAAUAAAUCAUCAUAUUUUAUAAUCUCAUUUUACCAUCACUUAUAGUAAUAGGGACAACAAAACCAUAACAAUUUCAAAUUUACACAAUAAAAAUAACAUCAAAAUUCAUUUUAGUUCAUAAAAAAUUGAAUGUGUUAAUUUCCCUCUAAGAAAUGUCAUUUUCAAGUGUGUUAUUAAGAAAAAAACAAAUGUUCAAUUUGAAAUGAGGCCCAACUAUGCUAAGCCCAGCACUCAAACUCUCCUCAUUUUCAGAAUCAUUCAAUGCAAAGCAACAGAAAGGGAAAGCUUUCCCUGCCAUCACUGUUUUCACGUUGGAAAAUCUCUCUUUCACGUUGGAGUGGACUUGAGAGAUUUGUUUGUUUGUUUGUUUGAUGAAUUUUCCAUAAAUAUACUUAGGCUACUGCAACUAUUCCAUCAAAUUUAGUACUUAUAUUUUCUUCAUUUUUCUUUUGCUUUAUAGCUCUACCUUGCCACCAUUUUGAGAAGAGUAAUCUGAAAUUGAGAAGAGGAAAGUAAAGGUUGACAUUAAUGUGCUUUGUUUUCAACCUCAUUGGCCUUUCUUUACACAAUGUGAGUGGAUAUCUUCCUAUAAACUUUUAAAUUUUAUUUUUCAUUAGAGGCUCUUCCUAUCCUAAGUUUUUAUUGAAUGUUUUUCAUUUUGUAUUUCUCUCUGUUUCAUUGAUUUCAUGAACAGCUCCACUGCGUCGGAGCAAUCGACACCAUCUCUUUGAAACUGUUUCCCCAUCAUCAUGAGUAAGUAUUCAUCCUUCAUAUUUUGUGCUCAAGUUCUUUAUCUGAUUUGUUGUGUUUUUUUCUUAGAAGUUGUGAAGUUGUUUGUUGUAUCAACUAGAAACAUUUAUCAGUUUUGAUAUAAUGUAACUAAAUUUUGUGAUUGAAAAUAGAAAUUGAAAUUCCAUUUGUGCUAAAGUUCUUUAUCUGGUUUGUAAUCUUGGGAUAUAACUACAGAAACAUUUGGAAUUUUUUGAUUUUUUCUUGAUAAUUUGGAUUGAUUUCUUUUGAUUGUUUAUGGAAGUUUUUGUUUGAGCAUGACAUGUGGCUUCUGUCACGAUUUUGGAGCAUCUGCAAGUUAACAUAUAGAUUUAUACUGAGGGCCUCUGUAAAUUGUAAGUCUUUUGAUUACUUUGUGUCUGUUUCGAGUUCUAAUUGUCAAUGUUAUAACUUAUAGGUUCAUUUAUCUAUUGAAGCAUCUUAGGCAUGUUUUGAUGUCCUUGUUUUUUGGCUGUUUCGGUUCUAUGAACUAAGGAAAGAUCCUAUCUGUAGUUCUCAUUAAGCCUUUAUUGCAACUCAUGUGAUGGAUAUGUAUACUUCAUUAUACCUUCGGAGUCACUAGAGCAACUUAAAUAUAGAUAUUUUGUUGUAUCCCUAGAGCAAUUAAAAGUAUCAUCUUGCUUAUUUGCUAUGAUCAAUGAAAUAUAUUAGCAUGAUACGUACAAGUAAUUAGAUACUUUUAGUAGAUCAUCGUCAUUUUUAAACUUAAAAUUAGAUUGAUGGGAUAGAACAAAAUAACUAUUGGUUUGUGGACAAUCAACCCAUGGGGAUCAAUGGAAGGUUACAAAGCUGAAACAGUAUGUAAGGGUGGAUUUGAGUUCACUAUGAUACGAAAUUGCAACUGUUAUGAUGGGGUACAUGAAUAAGAACCGGUUUUCUUACAUGCAACUGCAACUGUUAUUUUUUUUAGUCUGAAUAUGUCCUUUGCAAUCUUUUUUAGUGAAGUCUUAUAUAAAUCGGGACAUUAGAUACACUUUGUUUAUGGUCAAAUAUGUACAGGCAUACUUAAUUUGAUGUUAGGGUUGUGAAAAGAUUUGAUAGACUGUAAUGUUGGCAUUUACUAUUAGUAGGAUGUUUAAUUUAUUUAUUUUGGACAAAAUUAAUGGUUGUAUAAUGUUGGCACUUGCCAAAUAGUUAUUUGUCGAAUAUUUAAGAAUUGAAUUCAACCUAUCAAAUAACAAAUGAUAACACAUUUUCGAUGACUAAGUUUUCUUUUCCAAUCACGUUAAUAAUUAAUAUUCUUUUUAGACAAUUAUUCAUUAUAUUAGUAUAAAAUUAUUUGAGUAAAGUUUUAUCACCCGUGCUGUUUUAUAUCAUGAUACAAAUAAUUCAUGAUAUGGUUGUAUCAGUUCCUAAAUAUCGGAACAAUUUAAUUUUUGAAUUGACUGCACCGUAACUAUAAUUUCAUAGUAUUGAAGCACUUUGAAACACUGCAGUUUUAAAACUAUUGUGCCCAAACAUGUGCAGGAUUGAUGGCUCCUAUCUCCAGUUAGUGAGAAAUUGGUUUUGAAGUUUGUAGGGUUGAUGGUUAGUGAGACUGGAGGAUAUAAAACAACAUGUUUGUACCGAUGGUUGAUGCUUUCAUGUCUUACUUCAAUAGGGGUAGGACAUUACUUUAAUAACCAAGUAUAUGGAUUUAAAUGGAGUUGUAUGGUUCAUAUUAACUACAAAGACUAUGAUUCAAAUCUGGGAGACUAUAUGUAUUAGAUUUAAUAUCAAAGUCUUAUAUUCCUCAAACAUGGGGCUAUAGAUAUUUAAUUUAUGUUUCUAUUGAUAAUGAAGGUACAAUCAUGUUGAUUUUAACAUUUGUAUUCAAUAUAUUGGAUAUAUUUUUAUUCAUUUAAAUUAUUGAUGAAAUAUAUUAUAUAUAUUAAGUUUUAUACAUUAUGCAUUGAGAAUCAACAUUUGCUUAUUACAAUAAGACAAAUUUUUGUGAUGACAACAACAUUUGAUUUGUCUAAGAAGUGCAUUAUAUGUUUUUAUUUUGAUUGUACGUUCAGAGUAAUAUUUUUUUAACGCCACAAUAAAUCCUUUUUCGCCCGUGCGUUGCACGGGUGGAAAUACUAGUAUACAACAGUUGAGUGGAAUAAAAUGAAAUGCAAUUGGUGUGUAUGUACAAUUUUGAUGGUAAGGAUGAAUGGUUAUUUAAUAUGUUGAGGUGAAAGUUUGAAUACGUAAUGUUUUAUUUCUGUUGAUUUUACUUUACAUUUAUUGUUAUAUUUUUAUAUUUGAAUAUAAAUACAAGAUUGACACUUUUAUAUAUAUAUAUAUAUAUAUAUAUAUAUAUAUAUAUAUAUAUAUAUAUAUUAUUUUUGAGAGAAACAUCUAUAUUAUUGUUAAAUUUCACAAAAUAAUUCAUCAAUUUGCUUGCCUGGUUUAACAACAAUCGGAAAUAUUAUUUGCGAGUAUCUAAUAGGUUCAAAUCCAAUUGAUAUCCCUAGUUAAAAAGGAAUUUAGAAGUGAACUUUAGACCAUUUCAAUGAUUACUCUUUUGGCUUUUCUUUGCUUGUAAUGAGAGUAACAUCACCUUUUCUUCAAACUAUUUGAUCUUCACAUAAAGCCUCUACCACCUCCACAUAUAGUAUGUGUUACUGAAUUUAGAAGCAAAUCAUGCUUUAUACACCUUCAUACCAUAGAAGCCCUCGUCAUCGAAAGCGGGAAGAAAUGAAGGGUGUUUGAUGUAGAGUUUUUAUUUUUUAUAAGCUUGGAUGGAUCAACUCCAUUGGUAUGAGUUUGAGCUAGAAGAAUAAAAUCAUUUGCAUAAUUUAGAAAUUAAUCCCAUAAAUUAUAACCACAUACAUAUUUAGCAAAUCAACAUUCUUUUAUCCCUGUUUGCCAAUUUUCUAUAUUUUUUAUUGAAAAAUAAAAGUUUAGGUGAGUUGUGUCUCGGUCUGAAAGCCAUUUACUAAAUAUGUUAUAGUUAAACUAUCCGCCAAAAGGGAAGGUUAUGUUAAAAUUGUAUCUUUGUUUGUUAUAAUUAGAUAGCUUGGAGAACAAGUUACUUUGCAACUCCAUAGAAUCUUACUAUACACUAGCUGCAUCUAAUCUUAAUUCACUAGAAAGUUUGUUAGGAUCUUAAACAGCUAUAUAUAGCUUGCUGUAACCGUUUUCUUCUCAAUUCUAUGAAUCUAGCUUUUAUCUCAAUUUUCUCUCCUUCUUCUUUGUUAAGCUUCUGCAUUUCUUCAACUUUCACCAUGGAUAUGGUGAAGUUUAACAUGGUAUCAGAGCUCUUUUGAGCUCUGCUGCGCAUCGUUCUUCCUUCGUUUCUUCUUCUUCUUCGUUUUACGAUGGUUCGUGGAAACGCCGCCACUAACGGUGGUGCAAAUGGAGGAGCUAUGAUUCCUCCACCUCUUGAUCCUUCGCAACAACCUGGUAACGUGUAUUACGUUCAUUCUUCCGAUGGUCCUUCCUCUGUCAUUGUUACUCCGGUAUUGAACAACUCAAAUUAUCACUCUUGGGCGCGUUCAAUGAGAAGAGCUUUAGGAGGAAAGAACAAGUUUGAUUUUGUGGAUGGAUCAAUUCCAGUUCCUAUGGAAUUUGAUCCAAGUUUCAAAGCAUGGAAUCGUUGUAACAUGCUUGUGCAUUCAUGGAUCAUGAAUUCUGUUGAAGAUUCUAUUGCACAGAGUAUUGUGUUUCUUGAGAACGCCAUGGAUGUAACACCCCGUUUUCCCAAUAUACAAAUUUCUUAAACAUUUAUCAGAGUAAAAACCAUAAACGGGAUAUCACAUAGAAACGUAAUCCAAAAGCAGUUAAAUAAUAAUUUAACUUCCACAUAAUAUCUUAAUAUAGCAGCGGAAUAUUAGUUCAGAAGUCAUAAAUCAAUUUGGCACGCAGGCCCCAACAAAGUAUCUCAAAAGAGUUAAUCAAAACAGAAAUUAUCAUAGCAGUUCACGUAAAAGAAUGAAGCAUGUUAUAGCAUAUAACCCCAUCCCGUUAUGUAUCAGAGCGACCUAGACAACACAGUGAAGGCAAGGCCAACUCACGAAAGCAAACUGCACACUAAGCACGAUCACCUGCAAGUUACCCAUACGAAGGGCAACAUUUUCAAGCAGAAGGGGUGAGAUUUCAUAAUCAAAUAACAUUAAUCAAUGUAAUUGCGAAUCAUAAAUUAACAUCAUAAUCAUUCCUUAAAUAACAUUGCAUAAUUGCUAAACAGUUAUAACAUAAUCAUAUAUCCAAUUAUCAUGAACAACAUAACAUAUUCGAUAACCACUUAUCACAUAAUCACGUAAUCAAUCAUUAUCAACAAGGCAUCUUAAUCAUGACAAUGCGACAAUGCUCUUAGACUCCUUAUAUGCAUGUGGUACCAAUCGUCAUCAUAAGUAUUAAUAUACUUUAAUCGUGCGGAGGACAAAGCUCCUAUAAAACGUGCGGGGGACAAAGCUCCUAAUAUUCGUGGUGAGGACUAAGCUCAAUGAGAUGCUAUGCAUGGACACUUAUGAACAAAACAUCGUAAUCAACAUAUCAACAUGCAUCCAAUAAUUUGGAGCUAACUUCAUCAUAUACUUAUACACUUAGUUAAAUAACGGAAGCAGCAUAAACAGGUCACAUAAACGAGAUGAUAUUAUUAUAUCAAUAGCACAUAAAUUGCAUCAUUAUCAAGCUUUCAUAUCUUGCAUGAAUAUACAAUACAUUAGUUCAUGUCCAAUUAAUAUCAACAUAACUUAAACAACUCUACAGACUGCAUUAAACGUCAUCAUUAGGUCUUAAUGCCAAUUAGGGGUUCGCUCUUGAUCCACACGUGCGACACAGAUCGUACAAACACUCAAACAAACUACAUCCUGGGCUAGCUCGCGAGACGAAAGUUCUCACUCGCCAUGGCGAGUACCACUCAUCUCCCAAACUAAUGUUGUUCUGGGUUCCCUCUGAUCCUACAUUCAUUCCCAAUCAAUACUAGGUAUGUUCAGGCACUCAAAGGCACUCAAGGUCCAACUAAAAAGGUCGGAACACAAAAUCUAACAUGCACUCUGCCUAAGCUCGCGAGGCGAGGAAGGGUUGCUCGCAAUGGCGAGCUGCAUCACACAACUCGCGAGGCGAAGGGCGUUGCUCGCCAUGGCGAGUUGCACCAAAAAACUCGCGAGGCGAAGGGAAAGGGCUCGCGUGGCGAGCGAUGAAGUUCAUCACUCGCGAGGCGAGGAUCAUCCCUCGUCGUGGCGAGCGAUGAAUAGAAGCACGGGCAGACUACGGGUUUUCUCGAAAAUCCAACAAACAACAUGGUUCAAAGCCUAAUUUUGAUUCCAUAAUCCAUCCUAAACAUGUUCUAAGGUUAAAGGACGGUUUCUACAUCAAUCUAAACAAGUUUUACCGUUUGAUCAUCAAUUUUUAGGGUUUUGACCUAAUUUCCAAACUUUUCUAAAUCAAUCCUAACUUUGUCAUUUAAUCAUCAGAAUUACAGCAAUCAACGUUAUUGAAUUAUUAGUCUCACCCUUACCUUGUUUGAAGAAAAUCGCAGCACUCUUCCUUGGUUUCUCUAGACUUGGCUUUUUCUCCCUUUUUCUCCAAAACAGUCGUACGUACAAUGUUUUUCUAAAACUAGGUCUAACCUUUAUAUACCUCUUCUUAAUUACUUAUUUUAUCUCACUUUCUCCCCCAAAACUAUCUAAAAUAUCAAAACAGCCCUCAACUAAAUAUUUUAUAUUAUUUUCAAAUCUUUAUUUUAUUUAACAAUAAAAUAAAUCCCUUAAUCUUAUCAAAUCUUCCAAAACUCAUAACUUAUCACGUCAUCCAUCAAAUCACCAAAAUCAUCGCAAAUCAUCAAAACAUAUCAAAAUCAUGCAUAUAUUAUAUAAAUAUAAUAUAAUCGCCUAAACUCGAUUAAAUAAGCAAUUAACAAAAGUGGGCGUUACAAUGCAUGUUUGGAAUGAACUCAAGGAACGGUUUUCUCAAGGUGAUUACAUUCGUAUUUCUGAAUUACAAUGCGAAAUCUUUGGAUUGAAGCAAGAUUCGCGUUCAGUUUCUGAGUUUUUCACUACAUUGAAGGUUCUAUGGGAAGAACUUGAAGCAUAUCUUCCCACUCCGGUUUGUGCUUGUCCCCAUCGUUGUACGUGUAAUACUGGUGUGCUUAAUGCUAAGCAUCAGCAUGAGAUUACACGCUCUAUCAGAUUCCUCACUGGUCUCAAUGAUCAAUUUGAUCUUGUACGUUCUCAAAUCUUGUUGAUGAACCCUUUACCAACUCUCAACAAGAUUUUUUCAAUGGUAUUGCAGCAUGAAAGACAAUUUAGAGUUUCUAUUCCUGUUGAUGAGUCAAAAAUCCUUAUCAAUUCAGUGAAUAAGUUUCAAGGGCGAGGACGUGGUAAUGGAAGUACUUCUGGUGGUGCAAAGCGUUCUUGUUCCUUUUGUGGACGAAGUAAUCAUACUGUUGAUACUUGCUAUAAGAAGCAUGGUUUCCCUCCAAAUUAUGGUAAGAAUUUUGCUAAUGCUAACAAUUCCUCCCUUGAGAUGCAUGAAGAAAGGGAGGAUCUUGAUGAUUCAAAAAGCUGCAAAGGAAGUGAUUCUUUUAGCAUGACAAAAGAGCAAUAUGAACAUCUGGUUAAUCUUCUUCAAACUCAACAAAGUUCUUCUAGGAGCAAGGUGAACCAUGUCACUAAUCAUGUGACAUCAGGUAUAUCCACACUUUCAUAUGCUCUGAAUCACUGCAGUUUUGGUUCAUGGAUAGUUGAUUCAGGAGCAAGUGAUCAUAUAUGCUCAUCUAUUAAAGCUUUUGAUUCCUAUCAAUCUAUUAAACCUGUUCAUAUUAAGUUACCAAAUGGUAACAUAACUAUAGCAAAAAUCUCUGGCACAGUGCAAUUCUCUUCAGGACUUGUUGCCAAAAAUGUGUUAUAUGUUGCAGACUUCAAAUUAAAUCUUUUGACUGUACCCAAACUAUGUGUUGAUGAUGAUUGCAUAGUAACUUUUGAUAAUGAUAAAUGUUUAAUACAGGAAAGGAGGAACUUGAAGAUGACUGGUUUGGCUGAUUUGAUAGAGGGAUUGUAUUUUCUGACCACUCAAGCUUCCCCAUCAACCAAACCUCAAUUUGUCAUAGCUUCUAUCAACUCUCAAAGUUCUUCUUUUCUACCUCAAGAAGCCUUAUGGCAUUUUAGAUUAGGUCAUUUGUCCAAUCAUAGAAUGCUUAGCUUAAAACAGUCUUUUCCUUGUAUUAAGAUUGAUGACAAUUCAGUUUGUGAUAUAUGUCAUUACUCUAGACAUAAGAAAGUACCUUUUCAUCUCAGUGUAAAUAAAGCAAACAAAUGCUAUGAAAUGUUUCAUUUUGAUAUAUGGGGUCUUGUUUCUAUUCCUUCUAUUCAUGGUCACAAAUAUUUCAUUACUGCUCUUGAUGAUCACAGUCGUUUUACUUGGAUCAUCCUAUGUAAAUCAAAAUUUGAAGUUCAAAAACAUGUUCAAAAUUUCAUUAUCAUGAUAGAAAAUUAGUUUAGUUGUCAUGUUAAAACUGUUAGGACGGAUAAUGGUCCUGAAUUUCUUAUGUCAGAAUUCUAUUCUUCUAAAGGCAUUGAGCAUCAAACAAGUUGUGUUGAGACUCCCCAACAAAAUGGGAGAGUAGAAAGAAAACAUCAACACAUCUUGAAUGUAGCUAGAGCUUUACUUUUCCAAUCAAAAUUACCUAAACAGUUCUGGUCUUAUUCAGUUUUGCAUGCAGUUUACAUAAUCAAUAGAAUUCCUACUCCUCUGCUGCAAAACAAAUCCCCUUAUUUUCUCAGAUUUGGUAAUAAUUGUGAUUUAAAUGAUUUCAAAGUCUUUGGUUGUCUUUGUUAUGCCUCUACCUUACAUAAUCAUAGAACAAAAUUUGACUCUAGAGCCAAAAAGUCUCUUUUCUUAGGAUACAAGCAAGGUGUUAAAGGAGCUAUUCUUUUUGAUCUUGACACCAAAAUCAUUUUUGUGUCCAGACAUGUAACCUAUCAUGAACAUAUUCUUCCUUACUCUAAUUCAAAUCAACCUUUUCAAUGGCAGUACCAUUCAAAUCAACCUAUAUCUUCUGCCAUUGAACCUAUCACCAAUCUCAACACUAAUCAAAAUGAAUCCACUGUAACCAAAGCCAUUAACCCUGAAGAUUCUGAAACUGAGAUAUCUUCCAACAUUGAACUUGAUGAUCACAUUCAACCACAUUCACAAACUUUACCUGAACCAGAUUAUUUAUCUCUUAGAAAAUCAACCAGAAUUAUACAAAAACCAACCUAUCUGUCAGACUAUGUAUGCAAUCUCUCUAAAGAAUCAGACAAUUCAUCAUCUUCAGGUAUACUUUAUCCUAUCACUCAUUUUCAUUCACUCAAUAGUUUAUCCCCAAACAUCAGAAGUUUGCUCUAGCUGUUACUAAUGCUGCUGAACCUACAAGUUACAAUGAAGCAAGCAAGCAAGAGUGUUGGGUUAAGGCUAUGGAAUCUGAACUUGAUGCUUUGAAACACAAUAAAACUUGGAUUUUUGUGGAUUCACCACCCAAUGUCAAACCUAUUGGUAGUAAAUGGGUGUAUAAAAUCAAACAUAAGGCAGAUGGGAGCAUAGAGAGGUACAUGGCCAGACUGGUGGCUAAAGGCUAUAAUCAAGUUGAAGGCAUUGAUUUUUUUGACACUUUUUCACCAGUAGCCAAAAUUACUACUGUCAGAACUCUCCUUGCCUUAGCAUCAAUCAACUCAUGGCAUCUACACCAAUUAGAUGUGAACAAUGCUUUUCUCCAUGGAGAUUUAUCUGAAGACGUUUACAUGACUAUUCCUCAAGGUGUUGUCAACAUAAAACCAAAUCAAGUGUGUAAAUUGUUGAAGUCUCUUUAUGGUUUAAAGCAAGCCAGCAGAAAAUGGUAUGAAAAAUUGACUAGUUUCUUAAUCAGUCAAGGUUACAAACAGUCUGCUUCUGAUCAUUCCCUCUUCACUCUUCAUUCAGAUCCCAUGUUCACUGCUCUUCUUGUGUAUGUGGAUGAUGUCAUUUUAGCAGGGAAUUCAAUGGAUGAGAUCAAUAAAAUCAAGGUUACCCUUGAUGCAGAAUUUAAAAUCAAGGAUCUUGGUCAACUUAAAUAUUUCCUUGGCAUAGAGGUGGCACAUUCUAAACUUGGAAUUAGUAUAUGCCAAAGAAAAUAUUGUCUUGAUCUUCUUCAUGAUACAGGCUUACUUGGUUCAAAGCCAGUUUCAACACCACUUGAUCCAUCUAUAAAGCUACACCAAGAUACUUCAAAAGCUUUUGAUGAUAUUUUUAGCUAUAGAAGACUUGUGGGAAAACUCUUGUAUCUCACCACAACCAGACCAGACAUAGCUUUUGUAACUCAACAACUAAGUCAAUUUCUAUCAACUCCAACCAUUACUCAUUAUGAAGCAGCUUGCAGAGUUGUCAAGUAUCUUAAAGGCACUCAUGGUCAAGGUUUAUUAUUCAGAAGAGAUUCAAUUUUACAGAUACUUGGAUUUACAGAUGCAGAUUGGGCUGGAUGUCCUGAUACUAGAAGAUCCACUUCUGGUUAUUGUUUCUUCCUUGGAUCUUCCCUCAUUUCAUGGAGAGCUAAGAAGCAGCAUACAGUUUCCAGAAGUUCAUCUGAAGCUGAAUACAGAGCACUUUCUUUUGCUAGUUGUGAAUUACAAUGGCUUCAUUAUUUGUUGAAAGAUUUGGGAGUGUCAUGCAUCAAGUCACCUGUAUUGUACUGUGAUAAUCAGAGUGCAAUACAUAUUGCUGGGAAUCCUGUGUUUCAUGAGAGAACAAAACACUUGGAGAUAGAUUGCCAUUUUGUUAGAGAAAGAUUACAGCAGGGUCUUUUCAAGUUGCUUCCUAUCAAGUCUCAAUCACAACUUGCAGAUUUCUUUACUAAGCCUUUGCCACCUAAGAACUUUCAUUCUUUCAUUUCCAAGCUCAACAUGUUGGACUUAUACCAUGCUAAGCUUGGAGGGAGGGUGUUAAAAUUGUAUCUUUGUUUGUUAUAAUUAGAUAGCUUGGAGAACAAGUUACUUUGCAACUCCAUAGAAUCUUACUAUACACUAGCUGCAUCUGAUCUUAAUUCACUAGAAAGUUUGUUAGGAUCUUAAACAGCUAUAUAUAGCUUGGCUGUAACCGUUUUCUUCUCAAUUCUAUGAAUCUAGCUUUUAUCUCAAUUUUCUCUCUUUCUUCUUUGGUAAGCUUCUGCAUUUCUUCACUUCACCAUGGAAAAUAGGGUGAAGUUUAACAGGUUACACAACGAACAUCCCUCAAAAGGGAGUUAGAGAUAAAAGCAGGAAUUAAAUUAAAAAUUCCACAAGUAACAUAUGAAGAAAACCCCGACUUGGCUACACUAUCCGCCACAAGAUUGACCUCUAUCUCAAAACAUAAGUGAUUUUGACAUAAUCAUAACCGAUACCGAAAGCAAUGCUAUAGAUAAUGAGUAUUGCUAGCAAAACUCAAAAACUCACUUCAUUAUUGGUUCAAAUUAAGGUGGGGCUCACACAUUCGAAAUGGGUUUCACUUAAAGUGUGGGAUAUACACUAGUUUCAUCCAAUAAAAGAAUGAAUGUUAAAGAGAGUAUCCCAAGCAUUACUCAUAAAACAAUUAACUCCGAACCAUACCCAUCCCUAGUAAGCAUAAUUUCAAACCAAGGUUUCAACCGACGGUAAUUAAUUUCUUUUUUUUUUUUAACAAAGAGAAGAAAAUAACGUAAUUAAUUGUUGUUUGUUGGGUCUUUUUUUUUCUUCUUUCUUCCAGGUGCUAUAAUAGUAUAGAGCAAUUAAUUGUCUUAUCUUUGUUAGCUUCAAAACUCCACAAGUAAUAAGGGUAAAUAAGUAAUUACAUAGUAACCCUAUGUUAUCUUUCAAUUUCAAACAAUCUCUUCCACUUCAGUCUUCUUCUUCUUCUCUCACGAUCACAACCACCACAGUCACAAAGCAUUCAGCUUUGUUUUCUGUCAUCAUCACCGAUUCUUCCUCUCAAUAAACAACUAGGGUUCCAUCUUUUCCUCCUCUACUUAAUCCGCUGUGAGCAUUCUGGCUUUUCCUACUCUUUCAUAUUCGCGCACAUAACAUGUUUGUGAAAUGUCCUCUGUGGAUUCUCUGUUUAGAAUAACCCUGCAAGCUCAAAUUUUAACUAUCCUUAUGUUUUUAUGUAAUUAGAUGUUGGAAUAAUAUAUCAUAGUACUACCCUUUGAUGCUCAGUUUUAGAAUCUCUUGCUGAUAACUCUUUUUUCAACCAAUUGAUUGAAAUUCAAAAAACAUUGAAUAAAAGGAACUGCAAGCAAACAUGAAAGCAAAGUCCAACAACAAGUAUUCGAAAUGUGGUGCUAUAAAAUAUCUUUUGUUUGCAAUAAACGACGACUGCAAACUCGGCAUAUACAUUGGACACAAUAAUGAGUUGGUAAGGUAUUUGGAGGAUGGUCGUGAAGAUGAUGUACCUACAUUUACACAAACAAAUAUCAUACUGUUUACCGCGUAGAUUGAGAUAUAUUGGUUAUUAUUGUAUCCAACGUAUCUGUCUCGUCAACGUUUAGUACUGGAGGUCGAGUCCUUUACUCGUUUGGUAGUUAAUUAAAUCUCUACUGUUGAAGCUUUGAUUGCACCCCAAAUUGGAUCAAAUCUCUCAAGGUCAUUGAUUUAGAACUGGUUGAAGUGGGAAAGAUCGAGUAAAGUGUGGAUUCUUUGUUUUAAUUUUCAAAUCUUUUUGAUUAUAUUAUUAAAAUCAAAUUGUUUGUGUUUAAAUUUUAAGGUAUUUGUGAGUGUUGUAUUUAUUUCUUUGUGUUGCUGUCGUCGUCGUUGUGCUUAUUUAAAUUUUUAAUCUUAUUAUGUUUGGUAGUGUUAGGAUUGGAUUCGCUACUGCCUUUUGCAUUUGCAUUUUGUUGGUGUGCUGCUACUAGAUUUGUUGCUACAUGCUGUACCUACUGCUUUUGUUGCUACUUAAGUCUUAAUUUGUAUUUUGAUGUUGUUGCUACUGUUUUUGCAUUCAAUUUACAAUUAAAUCAUGUAAAAUUUUGGAUUUGCAUUCUGUUUGUUCGAGAUUUGCAUUAUAUUUGCUGAUUGCUUGCUAUCAUUUACAACUUCUAGAUUUUUGUGGAAAUUAUGUGUUUUAUGAAGAUUGGUACUAUUAUUAAGUUGGCUGAGCCUUCAAACGAGAAUCAUGAACGAGAGCUUCUUCGUCUUCUUCUAGCAUCAUAGCAAUGGAAAUCGGAAUUGAUUAUUGGAUAACGGUGAAACGGUUCGAAGAACGGUUAUGGAAAAUUGAACGGUAAUAGAGUAAUAGAGAGAACAUGGUUAUGCAGCACUCAAGUGAGGGGGUCUCAAAGUUACCUAUGGUUAUGGAGAAUUGUACGGAUCGAACUUUUCCAUUUUUUUUUCAUUUAUUUAAUUACUAUGAUGUAUAUGUGGCUUUUUCAUGGGUGCCUCAAAGUUGCAUAAGGGAGUAAAGUUAGAGGGUUGGAAAGUGGGUUUUUUUAAUAGGGGAUCAAAAUCGCAACUAUUGCAAGUUAUUUUAUUUUAGGAACAAAUAUUUGAAAGAUGGAGUCUUGGAGCAAAAGAAAGGAGAAUUUGAGCUAAUUCGUGCCAAAAAUAUGAAGAUCUGAUACAAAAAUAUCUUGUGCAAAUAAUUUGAAGAUCUUGUGCAAAAAUAUAACAAGUGGCGGGCCCCUUUUACCCUUUUGCUGCUUUUGCUUCUUCGACAAAGCUGCCUAUUUUAGUAUUUCAGACCUAGAGCCUAUGGUUUCUUGUGCAACACUUUAGUGAUUUAAUUCUUAGGGCUCAAGUCAAUGUUAGACUAUAAAUAGAUCAGUCCCCUAGUUUGUAAAACCAUCUUUUGUUCUUGAAAUAAUAAGUGACAAUUGUUUUCAAUAAAAAGAUCAACCUUUAUUUUAUGUUCUUCUUCUUCUUCUUCUCUUCUAUGUCUACAAUGAACGUGAGUGAGUAGACUCUUCUUGUCUUGGGAUUGUUGGAUAAGUCUAAUGACGUAAUCCUAAUCAAACCAAACCAUAAACCCUAAUUUUAUAUAAAUCCACUUUCUAAUCUAAUUUCACCGUUUUGAUAAUGAAUUAACAAAUACCAAACUCAUAAAGCGAACGCGGAGGGAUAGUAUUUGUUAAUUCAUCAUCACAAAUAUCAAUUCAUAAAAGCGAACACGGAGCUUUGAUAUUGGAACAAGUGAAAUUAGACAAGGAUUGCGAAAUAUGAGAAUAGUCUAGCAAACCUUGAGAAACAUAAAGUUUUGUUCUUCAAGGAUUCUAAUAACAAUCAACCAUGAGAAUAGGCGUGGUUGCUAGAGGAACACACUCAAUGAUUUUGAGAGAAACUUUGAUACGCUUAAGAGAAACUUGUCUUUAGAAAGUAGGUCCAAUAUAAAGUUUAGGUUUAGGGUUUGUUUGUGAAGGAAUUGUCACUAUGACGAACCAAUAAUCCCAAGGCGCUAUUAUUUUAUUAUUAUUAUUUUCUUUUAAUUAAACAAAAAUACAACUUUCUACCUUCUAAACUUUCAAUCUAAUCAUUGUUAAAAGUUAAUUGAAUUCAUAACUCCCUGUCGGAACGAUACUCUUUUUAUUACUUCGAUAGAACCGUGCACUUGCGGUUUUACUCAUCACCCCUGAAGUUGAGGAACACUUGGUAUGUGAGUCCAUAGGAAAAGGAUGAGGUAGAGGAAGGUGAUUGAAUAACCAUAUAUAACAACUACGCAGAAAUGGAAAUAAGAAUAUAGUUCAAGAAUGAAGAAUAUAUUAAUUUGUAAAGAUUUGGCACACUUGUCUAAUCCGCACAUCUGAACCAAUAAAAGGUUUAGAAGGUUGUUCAGAAGUUUCAUCAGAACAAACCCAUAAAUCAUUGUGCAUAUCAAGAACAUGCAAGAACAUACAUGAUAUGAACAUAUCAUAUGCAAAAAAGGAUUUCAACUCUAUGGUAAUUAAAUGAUUAAUGGACUUUGAUGUUCUUGGUAUUUAACAUAUGUUCUUAAGUGAUUAACCAAAACAGGAACAAAGUAUAAAUCAAACCAAGAUUCAAGUGAUCAAAGAACAUUAAAGCUUAUGAACCCAAUAAUAGUUCAGAAGGUUAGUUAGAGUUUAGAAGGUUCGAAGAUAUUUCAGAAGGUUGUUCUAAAGGUUUAUCAAGAAUAAGCCCAUAAAUAAAUUAACAUUAUCAAGAACAUACAAGGCUCACAUGGCAUAAAAGAAAGUGCAUAAAAGUACUAUGACUUUAGAUCAAUCAAGGAUUAAAUGCAUUAAUUUGGAUAAAAUUUAAAAGGAAUAUUAUUCUAAGAAAAAUUAGGAAUAUUCUUCUAAGAAAAUCAUCAUAGAUGUUAUGCAUAGUGCACCUCAUUGAUGCCCUUCAUUCAAGUUCACUAUUAAUAUUUGAUAGCAUCAGAUGAAGAUCAUUAAGAUGAUCACAAAUAUUCUGAAGUUCAAAAGGUCGUUCAGCUACAUGUUUUAUCUGACAGAAAGGUACAAUAGGUGAAAAAGCAAAAAGCAAAAGCAAAAUGCAAGAUCAAUUCAGAUUCAAUUAUAAUUAGACACAUAAGGGAGCAUAUACGUUCAGUAAAAAUGAUUACACAAAUCAACUCUAAAUAUUCCUAAAAUCUUAAAGAGUGUGUAACAUUUCUCUCUUAUCUUUUCAAUGAUAAUCUUCUUCUUCUUUCAAACCUCCAAACCAUUGUAAGAGAAAAUCUCAUCUAGUUUUAAGGGUAUUAAAAUGUUAGUUGAGUAAAAGAAAAGAGUAGAGUCUUGUCUGACUUAGAAAGAAAAGUUGUAAGCCUAUUGAGGCUAGAUAAUACAGUUUUUGCAUGCUAAGGCUAGAUAAUACACUUUGUAAGCCUGCUGAGGCUAAGAUAAUACAGAAGGUAAAGUCCCUAGUGGUAGAAAGUGUAAGGUGCAUGAGUUGAGAAGGUUGUCUCAAGGAUCAUAGUGAACAUCUCACAGUUGUGAGGAGUGGAAUAACCCACAUUAGAUGAACCACUAUAAUUCUCGUGUGUUAUAUUCUUUACCAUUACUCUUUAUUUUUAACAUUAAUAUUUACAUUCACUUUACACACCAUUAUCCCUUUAUUUAUUGUUUAUUACACUCACACUUCUGCAUGUACUUCAGAACAUUCUGAACUUGACCUAGUUUUUAUUUAUUUCAAGUAUCUACUUGAGAAUCACUUACCACAAGUGCAAGUUAAAUUUAAAAAGGGUCAUAAUUAAACCCCCCUUAUUUUGAAUAUUAUUUCCACUUCAAAGAAAACAGAUUACAUAAUGCUAUUGUUGUUCUUGAGAAGAGAAUAAAACAAAUCAGAGAGAAAAGGACGAAGAGAAGAGGAAGGUGGCGUUGUUGUUGUGCCUGUGUUUUUUUUUUUAAUGAAUUUGUAGGUUUUUUUUUAAUAAAUUUUUUGGAUUUGUGAUAAACACCAUGAACUUAUAAGUUAAAGAAGAUGAAGAUGAUGCUGAACAUAUAUCCUAGACAAAAAAAAAAAUAAAAAAAAUAAAAAAAGAAAUUAUACAAUCACAAUGCCACAUAAUAAAAAAUGCUGACUCAGCGCGCCGCAUCACUUUAGUUACCUAGUUAGAUGAGGCCAUGGUCGAUUUAUGAAGAAUCUUGAUUUUACAAUGAUGAAAUCUACUUUUUUACUACAUGAGGUAAACUGGAAAUGACUUAUAUUACAGGGGAUAAAACACUCUUAACCCUAGAAUAUAACAUGGAAGAGUUAAAUUCUUCAAUUUAUAAAAAAUAAAAUGACAUUAGAAGUUUAAAAAGUCAAAAUUUAGAGUUGGUUAUAUUAAAGCAACAAAGAAACUCAAAUGCACAAAUAAUAUUAUAGUGUCAUAUUAAUGUACAAGAGAAAUCCAUAAAUUUCACUCACAAUACAUUAAUGAGCAAAGACGGAGUACCAUGAGUAUUGUAUGCAUACCCAGUACGUGUACUUUAACGUUUUACAAUUACUUAUACUUCAAAGUAUAUUCUGUUUAACUAAUAAAUUGUACACUUACUUGAUUUUCCUCGUAAACAUUACCAUUUAAAACAUGAGGGAAAUUGGAAAUGANNNNNNNNNNNNNNNNNNNNNNNNNNNNNNNNNNNNNNNNNNNNNNNNNNNNNNNNNNNNNNNNNNNNNNNNNNNNNNNNNNNNNNNNNNNNNNNNNNNNUCCCCUCCCCUCCCCUCUCAUCCGCUUCUAAAAAUUGAACCAAACACUUCAAAUUAAAAAUCUUCCCUCCCCUCCAAAACUCUCGAACCAAAUGAACCCUAAAGUGAUCGACUUAUAAUUUGAAACAGAGGAGUAAUACUUAUGGAUCGGAGUAAAGAGUGCAGUGAGUGAAUUGAUGUAAAAUUUAGUUUUUUUCAUGCUAUAAUAUCUAUAAUGACUAUCGGGGUGCUAUUGUUAUUGACAAACUAGUUUACAAUGAAAACAAAUAUUACAAUGGAAACAAAUAUUACAAUGUUUGUGUAAUACACAAAAUUAUCAACCUAUUCGUCCUUCCUCAUGAUGCCCCUAAAGUCAACCUUCAUCCAGUAGAACUACAAUUUGAAGCUUACUGUUUGAUUUUUGAGUUACUGAUUCACAUUUAAUUUCCAUGAUAUUAUUGACGAUUGGUCAAACAUAAAAUAAAACUACAUUUUAAUUGACUUGUUUUAUUUAUUUAUUUAAGUUUUCUCGUUGUUUUAUUGUUUGAAUGGUAACCACAUUUAAGAUAUCAGCAAGAAGAGGUGGUAGUGCAACGAUAUCUACUCUGUGAUUGGUCCACACGCUAUAGGAUGUUGCAAGGAAGUUUCACUUACUACUUUUGUCAUUAGUUUUCUCCUUGUUUUAAAGAAUCCACCUAACAGACCACACAAAUUACUCAUUCAUAUUCUCCAUUUUCAAAGUCUUUUUUCAUCCAUAUUCUUUCAAUUCUCAUGGCUAUGCAAUCACCUUCCCGAGUGUUCCUCAGUUUCAGGGGCAGUGACACUCGCAACAAAUUUACCGGUAAUCUCUAUAAGGCUCUUGUUGACAAGGGAAUUCGUACUUUCAUUGAUGAUAAUGAUCUUGAAAGAGGAGAUGAAAUCACACCAUCACUUGUCAAGGCCAUUGAAGAAUCUAGGAUUUUUAUUCCCAUAUUUUCUGCCAACUAUGCAUCUUCUUCAUUUUGUUUGGACGAACUUGUCCACAUCAUUCACUGCUACAAGACAAAGAGUUGCUUAGUAUUUCCCGUUUUCUAUGAUGUGGAACCUACUCACAUACGAAAUCAGAGUGGGAUUUAUGGUGAGCAUCUUACUAAGCAUGAAGAGAGGUUUCAAAAUAACGAGAAAAACAUGGAGCGAUUGCGUCAAUGGAAGAUAGCUCUUAUCCAAGCUGCUAACUUGUCCGGCUAUCAUUAUAGUCCUCAUGGGUACCCCACUUUACUUAAAACUUGUUUUUCCUUUCUAUAUUUUAUUUCAUUAAUUUUUAUGCCUAAAUAAUCUACUCUCAAAGCUUAAAUAGGAACACAUUUUCUAUUAAUGUUUUUAAAACAAGUGUAAGUUAUUUAUAUGUCAAAAAAGUUAGAAUUGCAUAAUAUAUUCUCAAUACAUGGAUGUGAUUUUGAUUUUAGUGUAUUUUCUAAUUUAUCUUAUUGGACAUGAAUAGAUAUGAAUACAAGUUUAUUGAGAAGAUAGUCGAAGACAUCUCCAACAAUAUCAAUCAUGUUUUUUUAAAUGUAGCCAAAUACCCUGUUGGAUUACAGUCCCGAAUAGAAGAAGUGAAAUUGCUUCUUGACAUGGGCUCUGAGGAUGAGGUCCGCAUGGUAGGACUUUUUGGUACUGGAGGCAUGGGUAAAUCAACACUUGCAAAAGCAGUUUAUAAUUUUGUUGCUGAUCAAUUUGAAGGUGUAUGUUUUCUUCAUAAUGUCAGAGAGAAUUCAAGUCAUAAUAACCUGAAACAUCUCCAGGAAGAUCUCCUUUUAAGAACAGUUAAAUUGAACCAUAAGUUAGGAGAUGUUAGUGAGGGAAUUUCAAUCAUUAAGGAAAGACUAUCUAGAAAGAAGAUUCUUUUGAUUCUUGAUGAUGUUGACAAACUGGAGCAGCUAGAGGCUUUGGCUGGAGGACUUGAUUGGUUCGGUCAUGGAAGCAGGGUCAUCAUUACCACUCGUGAUAAACACUUACUAGCCUGUCAUGGGAUUACAAGUACACAUGCAGUAGAAGAAUUGAAUGAGACAGAAGCUCUUGAAUUGUUGAGGCGAAUGGCUUUUAAAAAUGACAAAGUUCCUUCAAGUUAUGAAGAAAUUUUAAACCGUGUAGUUACUUAUGCAUCUGGCCUGCCCUUAGCAAUAGUAACAAUAGGGGGCAAUUUGUUUGGAAGGAAGGUAGAAGAUUGGGAGCGUACAUUAGACGAGUAUGAAAAUAUUCCCGAUAAAGAUAUCCAAAGGAUACUUCAAGUAAGCUAUGAUGCUUUGAAGGAAAAGGAUCAGAGUGUCUUUCUAGACAUUGCUUGUUGCUUCAAAGGGUGUGAAUGGACAAAGGUUAAAAAAAUACUUCAUGCUCAUUAUGGCCAUUGCAUAGAACAUCAUGUUGGAGUGUUGGCUGAAAAAUCUCUCAUAGGCCAUUGGGAAUAUGACACUUAUGUGACCUUACAUGACUUGAUAGAGGACAUGGGUAAAGAAAUCGUCCGACAAGAAUCUCCCAACAAGCCUGGAGAACGCAGUAGGUUGUGGUUUCCCGAUGAUAUAGUUAACGUUUUAAGAGAUAAUACAGUAAGGAAAACUAAUAUUUAUGAACAAUUUGUUGUUUUAGCUUUAGCCAUGACUUUGAUCAUCCUGCCACCUCAUACUUGUGUUUUUUAUUCACUUAAUUACAUGUAUAUUACUCUAUAUAAUAUUUGUAUUAUGAUUUAUUCUUUUUUUAUUUUGUUAAAAGGGAACUGGGAAUAUUGAAAUGAUAUAUUUAGAAUUUGACUCAACGGCAAGAGAAACAGAGUGGGAUGGAAUGGCUUGCAAGAAGAUGACAAAUCUCAAAACACUUAUCAUUGAAUAUGCUAACUUUUCAAGGGGUCCUGGGUAUCUUCCAAGUAGUUUGAGAUAUUGGAAAUGGAUAUUCUGUCCUUUGAAGUCUCUAUCUUGUAUUUCGAGCAAGGCAAGUGAAAUAAGUUCAUUUUUCAAUUGUGUAUAUUGAUAAUUCUCUAUUAGAUUAUAAUUUUAAUUUCAGCUUAUUUAUUUGUUUUUUAUGCAGGAGUUCAACUAUAUGAAAGUCUUGACAUUGAACUAUUCUCGAUAUUUAACCCAUAUACCCGAUGUCUCAGGUCUUCCAAAUCUAGAAAAGUGCUCCUUUCAAAACUGUGAAAGUUUAAUUAGAAUUCACAGUUCGAUUGGACACCUAAAUAAACUUGAAAUCUUAAAUGCAUCUGGUUGCAGCAAGCUUGAGCAUUUUCCACCCUUACAGCUGCUCUCUCUUAAGAAAUUCAAAAUCUCUCAUUGUGAGAGUCUCAAGAAAAUUACAAUUCACAACUCGAUUGGACACCUAAAUAAACUUGAAAUCUUAAAUACAUCUAAUUGCCUCAAACUUGAGCAUUUCCCACCCUUACAGCUGCCCUCUCUUAAGAAAUUUGAAAUCUCUGGUUGUGAGAGUCUCAAGAAUUUUCCAGAAUUAUUAUGUAAGAUGACAAAUAUAAAAGAUAUUGAGAUAUAUGAUACUUCCAUAGAAGAAUUGCGAUAUUCAUUUCAAAAUUUCAGUGAACUUCAACGGUUAACAAUAUCUGGAGGGGGAAAGCUCAGGUUCCCAAAAUAUAAUGAUACAAUGAAUUCAAUAGUGUUUUCAAAUGUGGAACAUGUUGACCUCAGAGACAACAACCUCUCGGAUGAAUGUCUCCCAAUACUUCUCAAGUGGUUUGUUAAUGUGACAUUUCUAGACUUAUCGGAGAACUAUUUCACAAUUCUUCCCGAGUGCCUUGGUGAAUGUCACCGUCUUAAGCAUCUUUAUUUGAAGUUUUGCGAGGCUCUUGAGGAAAUUAGAGGGAUUCCACCAAAUCUUGAAAGGCUUUGUGCAGACGAGUGUUAUUCAUUGAGUUCCUCAAGUAUA
rnacentral:lncRNA from 1 species